rnacentral:lncRNA from 1 species
AACCAAGAAAGACCAAGGAUAACAGGGCUUGAUGGGGUUCUAAUAAUAUUAAAAAUAACGUGACUACUAUGGUCCUUAAACACCACUUCUAUAGGUUCUGAUUCGUGGAUAACGUUGCCUGACAAUAAGGGUCGUCCAUCUAUCACCUCUACGUGAACAGGUUUGGACUUCUGUACUAAACGGAUCUUGUGGCAUUUAGCAAACUCUUCAUCUAAAAAACAAGUAGAUGCCCCCGAAUCCAAUAAAGCUAAAGUUUUUUUGUUUUUGAGGGCCUAAAAACAAAGGAAUUGUAAAACAAUGGGCAGGUUGGACAGAGAAGGAGGAACCUGAUUGUUGUCGUGAUAUUAGAUUGUCCAGCCGCACGGUUCCUACUGUGGCUGGGCGUCGUCGUUUUCCAGAAUCAUCGCACUUCUAGUCUUGACAGGGUGCCAAUUUUGCUUCUUUGGGCAAUUUCCAACCUUGUGACCUUCUUCUCCACAGUACAAACAUAACCCUUCCUCCAUACGCCGUUUCUUCUCUGUUGGAGUAAGAGAUCGGACACGCGCCAUGUCGAUUUGCAUGUCUGUUGCCUCCGAAUGUGAGUUUAAGCUAUUUGCAGACAUAGCCACGUCGUAACGAGUCAUUUGGUGUCUUGGACGUUGGUCUUGGCGACGCUGGAAUAGGCGGUUGUCACACUUUACAGCUUGGCUAAUAGCUUCGUUGAGCGUUUGAGGAUCAGGAAGAGAUAACAGCAAGUCCUUCACAUCAUCCUUCAAGCCCCAAUAAAACUGACUCACCAACGCCUCUUCACCCCAAUUAAUGUCACUUGCCAAUUGUCUGAAAUCCGAGGCAUAGACUGAUGCAGAGCGUGUUCCUUGUCGUAGCGAUCGGAUCUUUGUUGUAGCCCAUCGAACUUUAUCAUGCUCGCCAAAUGCUUCUGCAAACGCCUCCAAGAAUGUUUUAAAGUUGCUCAGGAUUGGCGAUCGCUUCUCGAACAAGGGAGUAAACCAAGACAGAGCUUGUGCUGUAAGCAAGGUUCCAACAAGCCCAACAUGCGCUUCCUCCGUCGAAUAACGUUCGGGCUGUAAAAUUGUUAUCAACCUGAUUUGGUUGAUAAAACCUCGAAACUUGGAACGAGUUCCAUCAAACUUAUCCGGAAGACUAACUCGAGCCUCCUUUCGUUGUAGGACUACUCGAUCUUGUUGAAAUGGAGGUAGAACUGCUUCUUCUGGUGUAGAAGUUUGAGGCUGAUAUGCUUUAGAUGGCGCUAUCCCAGAUGCUCCAUUGUUAUGGAGUCCUACCAUGACUCCUUCGAUCUCUGUUGUCCUAUGUGACAACGAGGCAAGAGCAUUUAUGAUGGCGUCUAGUUUGGAUUCCAAACUUUCAGCCAUUUUAACGUCUUAACCUUCGGCUAACCUUCAGAAAGAAGAAAAAAGAGUUUUGACAAGAGGACAAUAUUGAUUCAGAGGAGAGUACUCCGCAACCUCUAAAACGCCUUAAGACUCCAAGAUGAGGGGUAAUUCACUCUCUCCAAGAAAAAUAAGGCUCCAAUAUUGAGAAAGAAGAGAUAUCAGUUUAGAGGACGGUAAUCCGCAACCUCUAAAACACUAGCACACCUUCAAGAAGAGGGGUAAUCCACUCUCUAACAAGAAGGAAAUAGCUCUGAUACCAGUGAAAAUGCAGUCUCGACAAACUGUCACGGACACCAAAAUACAGACUUGAAAUCUAACAAGAAGUUCAAGAAGAAGUGGCAGAACUAGAUUAAACAGAUGAGUACAAGAAUAACACCAGAAAAGUGAGCUAGAACUCCAAGAGAUGUGUUGUCGAGACUGAAGAAUCCUUCAACCUCGACUCCUAUAUAUACUACUGAAUAGGAAGCUUCUCGAGCUACUUCCGCUAACUAGGACGCUUCUCUAACAACUUCUACUAAUUAGGAAACUUCUCGAGCAACUUCCUAGAAUCUAUCAAAAUAUUCUAGAACCUUCUAAGAGAAUCUUUAGAGAAUAUUCUAAGAAUUUUCUAGAACCUUCUAAAGGAAUCUUUAGAGAAUCUUUAGAGAAUAUUCUAGAAGAAUAUUUAAAGAAUCUUCCAAUGUAUGUCCAUGACAGAGGCCCGUAGUAAGACGUAGAUGUUCCCGUAAUUGGAUCAAAUUGGUCCUCGCGUCAGAUUGGCUAAGAGGUCCAUAGUAAGACCUAGAUGUUUCCGUAACUGGACCGCAUUGGGUUGCCCGACCAAGUCAGGUCUCAUAUUGGGUAAGACUUGGAUUGGAUGUCUUGAAAUUGGAUCCAAUUGGCUCUUCGAACCAGGCUCACCCGUCAUGGAAUUGGUCCUUUCCCUUUUUGCUGACUCCCAUUAUUGGAAUCGAACGGAGCAUUUCAGUAAGCCACGGCUGACUGUAACGGAGUGACUCAACCUAGCCUCUCAGUAUUUGUACUGGAAUUGGUCGUUGCUUCCAAUAUUCGAGGUAACUGAACAUUAAUAAAAGUCCUCUUUUUUUAUAUUUUCACAGUAUACUCGUGUUACAACACGACAACGUAUUUAAAGAACACAUAAAUGUGCUUCUUUUUUUCGAAUGUAUAGGCAUCCUUCAAAAUAGAAUGAGUUGUUUUUAAACUUAAACUUGGAAGCACCAUAAGACUUAUAAGAAAGAUUCUUGAUAUUAUGAACAAGAAGAUCAAAGAACAUACUUCAUUAAAUUUCUUUUAUAAGAAUUGAAUCAAUAGUCAAUAUUGAUUUUAUUGCUCAAAGAUAAUAAUGCUCUGGCUUCAAGAGAAUCAAUCUUUAUUGAUAAAAAGAUGUAUUUCUUUUUUUUGAUAUAAGAUAAGAAUAUUUGGAAAUGGCGUUUGACAAACCUUGAUAUUUUUUGAAAUAAUAAGUGAUCUUAAUAUCAAAUCCAGACAAAAAUAUGUUCCAAUCAACUUGGCAAUGAUUCAAAAUAUGUACUAAUAUAAAGUAUUUAAGAUUCUUGUGGUUGAUAUAAAUAGUGAUUGGAUUAGAAGUGUCUUCUAGAUAAUACUGCUAUUCUUGAAAUGAAUCCAUAAUUGUAACAAGUUUUUUGUCAUAAAUCUCAUAGUUGAUUUUGGCUAUUGAAAAUUUUCUUGAAUAAAACUUUAUUAGAUGAAAUUUAUUAUUUGUUUUCUUUUGUGAUAAUAUGGUAUCCAAAAGCAAAGGGUGAUGCAUCUAUUUCUAUAAAAAAUGGCUUAGAAAAGUCGAUGAGAUACAAGAUUAGUGUAGUAAUAAAGGUUAUCUUUAAAGCUUCAAAUGCUACUUUGCUUCUUGAUUCCAUUGAAGUUUGUCUUUACAAGUCAUACAUAUAAGUAGAAUUACAACUUAAAAGAAGUUCUUAAUGAAGAUCCGAUAGCAGUUGGCAAAUCUCAAAAAAUAUUAAACAUCUCUUAUCAUUUUUGAGAUCUUUCAAUCUAUAAUAGUUUGAAUUUUUUUAUGAUCUAUCAUAAAUCCAUCAUUUGAAAUAAUGUAUUCUAAGAAGUCAACUUGAGUAUUAUAGAAUACACACUUUUCUAUCUUGGCAUAGAAUCCUACAUCUCUUAGUUUUUAUGAUACAUGAAAAAUAUGAAGUUUAUAUUUUUUUUAUAUUCUUAAAAUAGAUAAGAUGUCCUCUACAUAACAGAUAAUAAAAUCAUCUAAAAACUCUCAAAAAACAUCAUUUAUUAGAUGUUGGAAAGCUGGUGGUGCAAUCGUAAGUCUAAAAGGCAUGACAUUGUAUCCAAAAUGUCCAUAACUUAUUUAAAAUGCAAUCUUCUAUUCAUCUUCUUUUUUGAUACGUAUUAAAAUAUAUACUUCUUAUAGAUCUAUUUGUAUAUAGAUCUUAGCUUGAUUCAACCAAUCAAGAAAUUCAUAUAUCAAAAGUAGCUUAUACCGAUUCUUGACGGUGAUUUUGUUGAGUCCUCAAUUAUUGACAUACAUCUACAAUGAUCCAUCAUUUUUCUUUAUAAAUAAAAUUGAAGCUCCUAUUAGAAAUUUGAAAUAGAAUAUAAAGUUUUUAGGUACAUUUUCUUUAAUACUGAAACAUGAUUGGAUCCUCUAGGAUCUAAAAUCUUACCAAAUCUAUAACAAUAAGGAUCUCAAUACAACAUGAGAUCAAGUGUACCAAAAUAAAAUUAAAAGUAACUAAAUAAAAUAGAACUUAAAAGACAAGAUUGAGUAAAAAAGUAUAGAAACAAAUAAAAUCUAAUAGAACCAAAAAAAACGAAACAAGAAAAAAAAAAAACUUUACUAAGAAUUUGAAGCCAUAUCAGACUAAAUAUCCAAGUAGCCUCAACAAGUCCUAUUUAUACUUUGUUCAAUUAUCUUAAACUCUACUAAGUUAACUGCCAUUUUAAAAGAUUCUAGAGAUAGGAACAAUAUGUCACGGCCAUAAUCAUGUAAGCUAAUAAUUACAUAUAGAAAUAGAUAGAAGUAAGUAAAAGUAGAUAAAAGUAAGUUAAUUCUAUAAUAUUUAAUAUAAAAGCUUCCUAGAAACUUCCUAGACGCUGCUUUGACUUCAUAGGUGUCUUUAAUUGACUUUUUGGAUUAAAAACGUGGUCAACAAGUUGGCCAUGUGCCACACAUGUUGUUAGCUUGAAGAUCAAGCUAACUAUGUGGUCCACACGUAGAAAAACUUGCCUUGUAAGUCAAGGCAUGUGUCCUACAAAGUCAACACAUAUUGGAGGUCCUAUAGAACGUCACCACGUAGCCCCUAGUUAGAUAGUAUAUAUAGAGACAAGAGUGAAGGCUUCUUCACUCUUGUCAACUCCUUUCUUGCUUCUAGUCUAGUUUCAAGGGUCUCUAGUUUUCUUGUCUUUUGGCAAUAGCCAUUUUAGUUUCUCUUUUCAAUAUACAUACUUAUUAUUCAUAUUUUGUUACUUUUCUUUGAGUGAAGGCUUACUUGUCUGAACUGUUUUUACAUCGAGUUCUUGUCCUUGACAGAUUGACAAGAGUCUACUUACAAUAUCAGAGCUUUGUUUUUCUUGAGUAAGAGUGGAUUACCCCUUUCUCUAGACAAGGCAUUGUCAUGGACAUACAUUGGAAGAUUCUUCGAAUAUUCUUCUAGGAUAUUCUCUAAAGAUUCUAUAAAGAUUCCUUUAGAAGGUUCUAGAAGAUUCUUAGAAUAUUCCCUAAAGAUUCUCUUAGAAGGUUCUAGAAAAUUCUUAGAAUAUUCUCUAAAGAUUCUCUUAGAAGGUUCUAGAAUAUUUUGAUAGAUUCUAGGAAGUUGCUCGAGAAGUUUCCUAAUUAGUAGAAGUUGUUAGAGAAGCGUCCUAGUUAGCGGAAGUAGCUCGAGAAGCUUCCUAUUCAGUAGUAUAUAUAGGAGUCGAGGCUGAAGGGUUCUUCAGUCUCGACAACACAUCUCUUGGAGUUCUAGCUCACCUUUCUGGUGUUGUUCUUGUACUCAUCUGUUUAAUCUAGUUCUGCCACUUCUUCUUGAAUUUCUUGUUAGAUUUCAAGUCUGUAUUUUGUGUCCGUGACAGUUUGUCGAGACUGCAUUUUCACUGGUAUCAGAGCUAUUUCCUUCUUGUUAGAGAGUGGAUUACCCCUCUUCUUGAAGGUGUGCUAGUGUUUUAGAGGUUGCGGAUUACCGUCCUCUAAACUGAUAUCUCUUCUUUCUCAAUAUUGGAGCCUUAUUCUUCUUGGAGAGAGUGGAUUACCCCUCAUCUUGGAGUCUUAGGGCGUUUUAGAGGUUGCGGAGUACUCUCCUCUGAAUCAAUAUUGUCCUCUUGUCAAAACUCUUUUUUCUUCUUUCUGAAGGUUAGCCGAAGGUUAAGACGUUAAAAUGGCUGAAAGUUUGGAAUCCAAACUAGACGCCAUCAUAAAUGCUCUUGCCUCGUUGUCACAUAGGACAACAGAGAUCGAAGGAGUCAUGGUAGGACUCCAUAACAAUGGAGCAUCUGGGAUAGCGCCAUCUAAAGCAUAUCAGCCUCAAACUUCUACACCAGAAGAAGCAGUUCUACCUCCAUUUCAACAAGAUCGAGUAGUCCUACAACGAAAGGAGGCUCGAGUUAGUCUUCCGGAUAAGUUUGAUGGAACUCGUUCCAAGUUUCGAGGUUUUAUCAACCAAAUCAGGUUGAUAACAAUUUUACAGCCCGAACGUUAUUCGACGGAGGAAGCGCAUGUUGGGCUUGUUGGAACCUUGCUUACAGCACAAGCUCUGUCUUGGUUUACUCCCUUGUUCGAGAAGCGAUCGCCAAUCCUGAGCAACUUUAAAACAUUCUUAGAGGCGUUUGCAGAAGCAUUUGGCGAGCAUGAUAAAGUUCGAUGGGCUACAACAAAGAUCCGAUCGCUACGACAAGGAACACGCUCUGCAUCAGUCUAUGCCUCGAAUUUCAGACAAUUGGCAAGUGACAUUAAUUGGGGUGAAGAGGCGUUGGUGAGUCAGUUUUAUUGGGGCUUGAAGGAUGAUGUGAAGGACUUGCUGUUAUCUCUUCCUGAUCCUCAAACGCUCAACGAAGCUAUUAGCCAAGCUGUAAAGUGUGACAAUCGCCUAUUCCAGCGUCGCCAAGACCAACGUCCAAGACACCAAAUGACUCGUUACGACGUGGCUAUGUCUGCAAAUAGCUUAAACUCACAUUCGGAGGCAACAGACAUGCAAAUUGACAUGGCGCGUGUCCGAUCUCUUACUCCAACAGAGAAGAAACGGCGUAUGGAGGAAGGGUUAUGUUUGUACUGUGGAGAAGAAGGUCACAAGGUUGGAAAUUGCCCAAAGAAGCAAAAUUGGCACCCUGUCAAGACUAGAAGUGCGAUGAUUCUGGAAAACGACGACGCCCAGCCACAGUAGGAACCGUGCGGCUGGACAAUCUAAUAUCACGACAACAAUCAGGUUCCUCCUUCUCUGUCCAACCUGCCCAUUGUUUUACAAUUCCUUUGUUUUUAGGCCCUCAAAAACAAAAAAACUUUAGCUUUAUUGGAUUCGGGGGCAUCUACUUGUUUUUUAGAUGAAGAGUUUGCUAAAUGCCACAAGAUCCGUUUAGUACAGAAGUCCAAACCUGUUCACGUAGAGGUGAUAGAUGGACGACCCUUAUUGUCAGGCAACGUUAUCCACGAAUCAGAACCUAUAGAAGUGGUGUUUAAGGACCAUAGUAGUCACGUUAUUUUUAAUAUUAUUAGAACCCCAUCAAGCCCUGUUAUCCUUGGUCUUUCUUGGUUAAAAGAUCAUAAUCCGUCCAUUGAUUGGAGGCUACGAAGGAUAACAUUUCCUGAAAAAAAUAAUAAUAAACAUGUUGGUAGAACCUACAUGAAGAAAUCCAUGUUUAUUGGAGCGAGAGCGUUCCUAAGAUAGUCCAAGGAAGGCGCACCAUUUGUCAUUUAUGCAGCUCCAACUAGCGGCGAGAAUAUCUCAACAUCGAAUAUACCAGAGCAAUAUAGGGAUUUUGAAGACGUGUUUCAGAAGAAAAACGCCGAUAUACUGCCGGAACAUCGACCAUAUGAUUGCGCCAUAGACUUAGAGGAAGGAGCGCAACCACCUUUUGGUCCAAUAUACAACCUAUCGCAGACGGAGUUGGCAGAAUUGCGGAAGUACAUCGAUGAGAAUCUAGCCAAGAAUUUUAUUCGACAUUCAAAGUCGCUAGCUGGAGCACCAAUCCUAUUCGUGAAGAAAAAGGAUGGCUCACUGCGGAUGUGCGUGGACUACCGAGGACUCAACAAGGUGACCAAGAAAAAUCGCUAUCCCUUACUUUUGAUCUCCGGCCUCUUAGAUCAACUUGGACGUGCAAAGAUUUUUACAAAGAUUGAUUUAAGAGGAGCCUACAACCUUGUGCGAAUCAAAGAAGGAGAUGAAUGGAAGACAGCCUUUCGUACAAGGUAUGGCCAUUUUGAGUACAAUGUCAUGCCUUUUGGUCUUACCAAUGCUCCAACGGUCUUUCAGCAUAUGAUGAACGACAUCUUUCGGGAGUACCUCGAUGACUUUGUUGUCAUCUAUCUGGAUGAUAUUUUGAUAUUUUCCAAGAAUGAAGAAGAACAUGAGAAGCACGUUUGUUUGGUUCUUGAAAAACUACGUGAACGAGGACUCUACGCCAAGUUGGAGAAGUGUCAAUUUCACCAGAAUGAGAUGGAAUUUUUGGGCUUCAUUGCGACUACAGAGGGCUUGAAGAUGGAUCCAAAAAAGGUAGAAGCAAUUAUAUCUUGGGAAGUUCCGAAGACAGUUAGAGAUGUUCAGUGUUUUCUUGGAUUUGCUAACUUCUAUCGGAUCUUCAUCAAGAAUUAUUCUCAAGUUGCUGCACCACUCACGCGUCUAACAAGUAAAGACAAGCUCGAAUGGGGAUCACAAGCAGCAAAAGCAUUUCAAGAUCUCAAGACGGCAUUCACUAUGGCUCCAAUCUUGGUACACCCUGACUUUGCAAAGGCUUUCUAUUUAGAGACUGAUGCUUCAGAUUUUGCUUUGGAAGCUGUGCUUUCACAAAUGGGCAUAGACAAGAAGCUUCACCUAGUUGCGUUCUAUUCACGGAAGUUCUCUGCUGCUGAGAUCAACUAUGAGAUCCACGACAAAGAGCUGCUUGCUAUAGUGGAUGCCUUCCAAGAGUGGCGUCACUUCCUCGAAGGAGCUGCACAUCCAGUGACUGUUUAUACGGACCACAAGAAUUUGGAGUACUUCAUGACAGCUCGAAUUUUGAAUCGUCGUCAAGCUCGAUGGAAUAUGUCUCUAUCACAAUUUGACUUUAUUAUCACCUACCGCCCUGGAAAACAGCAAGGAUUAUCUGACGCAUUAUCGAGGAGAUCGUAUCUUGCGCCAAAGGCUGGAGAAGCAGCGUUUGAUCAACAAUGUACAACAUUGUUGAAACCAGAAAAAUUCAGGAUUUUUGCUACUGUUGCAACUAUCGAUGACGGCUUCCUCAGCGAGGUACGUACUGCGACCAUUGAGGAUUCUAUAGCUCUUGACAUCAAACAACGUGUCGAUAAUGACAAGUUUAAGGUGGAGGGAGAUCUUCUGUAUUUUGAGGAGCGGUUGUAUAUCCCGAAAGGACCAACUCGACUCCGAGUACUUCAAUCUCGCCACGACUUUCCAGCUGCGGGACAUUUGGGAUUCAACAAGACUUUGGAGCUCAUUUCACGAGAUUUUUGGUGGCCCCAAAUGUGGAAGGAUGUGAAGGAAUUUGUCCUUUCUUGUGAUGUUUGUUCAAGAUCCAAGAUCCCUCGACAUCGUCCGUAUGGACUUCUCCAGCCAUUGCCUAUUCCGCACCGACCAUGGUCUUCAGUUUCUAUGGACUUCAUUACGGACCUACCGCCAUCGAAUUCAUUUGACAGCAUCUUUGUUGUGGUGGAUCGAUUUACAAAGAUGGCGCAUUUCGUGCCUUGCAAGAAAACAUCGUCAAGUGAAGACACCGCAAGACUCUUUCUUGAUAACAUAUAUCGUUAUCAUGGCCUACCAGAUGAUAUCGUGUCGGAUCGAGGUACUCAGUUUGUAUCCAAGUUUUGGAGGUCCCUCUUUGAGAUAUUGAAGGUGGAUAUUAAGCUCUCUUUGGCUUUUCAUCCUCAAACUGACGGUCAAACGGAGCGGGUGAAUCAAGUUUUGGAGCAAUAUUUACGAUGCAGCAUCAACUAUCAACAAGAUGAUUGGACUGCAUAUCUACCGCUUGCUGAGUUCGCAUACAACAACACUCUUCAUGCGUCAACUCAACAAACACCAUUCUUCUCCAACUACGGAUACCACCCCAAGCUCGAUUUAUUGAGCUCUUCAGCAAAUAACAACCCAGCAGCUGAAGGAUUUGUGAAGCAACUAUCGGAGCUUCAAGCGACGUUGAAGCUUCAAUUGCAAUCUACCCAAGAGAGUUACAAGGCAUCUGCAGAUAAAUAUCGAAAUGAGGUGCCUACUUUUAAAGUUGGAAGUAAAGUAUGGCUUCUUCGAAGGAAUAUCAAGACCAAGCGGCCAUGUGACAAAUUGGACUAUCGGAGAUUAGGGCCAUUUGUUAUCGAGAAGCAGAUCAAUCCGGUGGCAUAUCGUCUGGAGUUACCAGCUACUAUGAAGGUACAUCCAGUCUUUCACGUGUCUUUGUUGGAACCUUAUCGAGAGUCAGCUUUUCCCCAAAGAGUACAAAGUCCGCCACCAAGUAUCGAAAUUGAAAACCAUGAGGAAUACGAGGUGGAAAAGGUACUAGAUUCACGACGUAAUAGGAGAAAAUUGGAGUAUUUAGUGUAUUGGAGUGGAUACGACAUCAAUGAACGAACGUGGGAGCGUGCCGAAAAUCUUGCCAAUGCACCAAAAAAGGUACAAGAAUUUCAUCAACGAUAUCCUCAUAAACCUAAGCCGAUUCAACGAUAGCUUCUUGCUGAAGCUUGCUCAUCAAGUAGCAUAAAAGGGGGGAGGGCACCUCCAAAACCCAUAGUUCGAUAGUGUAGAACUUUGUUAGCAACUAUAGUUUGCUCUCAUCAUUUUAGGCUUUGGACAUGGAUAGUCAAGAUACUACACUUGUUAUGUCAUCUCAAGCGACUAGCUCACGAAGACGACCGCGAGAUGAAGAACCACCUGUACCACGACGACGUCGGAGGAUACCGAGCAACAGAUCGCUAGUAAUUGUAUUUGAAGUGGAGCCUGCCUACGACGGUCAGCCAGAAGGUGUGUUUGGAGGACAGUUUCACAAUGAAGACACAGAAGUCCACGCUUGGUCAGAGGUUGAAGGUGUUGGUCACUACCGUUGGCUCCAAGGGCCGAUGAAUCAUUUGCCUCGCGAACAACAAUUGGAAUUCAUAGCGGAUGUGAUGCGACAGAUUUUCAUUUUCUUGCGUUGGUAUUGACUGAUAACAACAUUGCUUCUCGGAGACCUCGAAGUUAGAAGAGGAGGUGAUGUCAUGGACAUACAUUAGAAGAUUCUUCGAAUAUUCUUCUAGAAUAUUCUCUAAAGAUUAUCUAAAGAUUCUUUUAGAAGGUUCUAGAAGAUUCUUAGAAUAUUCCCUAAAGAUUCUCUUAAAAGGUUCUAGAAGAUUCUUAGAAGGUUCUAGAAUAUUCUGAUAGAUUCUAGGAAGUUGCUCAAGAAGUUUCCUAAUUAGUAGAAGUUGUUGGAGAAGCGUCCUAGUUAGCGGAAGUAGCUCGAGAAGCUUCCUAUUCAGUAGUAUAUAUAGGAGUCGAGGCUGAAGGGUUCUUCAGUCUCGACAACACAUCUCUUGGAGUUCUAGCUCACCUUUCUGGUGUUGUUCUUGUACUCAUCUGUUUAAUCUAGUUCUGCCACUUCUUCUUGAACUUCUUGUUAGAUUUCAAGUUUGUAUUUUGUGUCCGUGACAGGCAUAAGCGUAUUAGAAGUUUGCGGAUUAUCCACUUCUAAACUGAUAUUGUUCUUAGUAUCUUCUUUGUUAUCAAGUCUUUCUUUUCUUUUGUCUUGAGCAGUAUCAAACAAAUUUUUCUUCCUAGUGUCAUUAUGGCAGAGCUUGUUGAAAUGAAGAGUGCCAUGGCACAAAUGCAAGAGCAAAUGAGGGAGUUAAUGCUUGUCAUGCAUCAACUCAAUUCAUCAACACAGGAAAGAACAAGAAUAGCAGAAAGUGGAGAUAUAGAGAUGAUCGGAGCUGCUUCAACAUCUACAACAAAUCACGUUCUUUCUCCAAUAGUACAACACCCUAUAAGUACUAGAGAACCAAGAAUUGCCUUACCUGAGAAAUUUGAUGGUACGAGAUCAAAGUUUCGAGGGUUCAUCAAUCAAGUACAAUUGGCAAUUGAACUUCAACCGCAAAGCUAUCCAACUCCAGGAUCACAAGUCAGGUUUAUUGGCACUCUACUUUCUGGUUCUGCAUUAUCGUGGUUUUCGUCUUUUCUUGAACAACGAAAUCCAAUAUUGGACAAUUUGGAAGCUUUUUUGGCGGAAUUUCGAUCUAUGUAUGGUGAACACGAUGCAACUCGUGUUGCAACAAAUAAGAUCCGAAUUCUGCGACAAGGAAAUCGCUGAGUAACAGUAUAUGCUUUACAAUUUUGACAACUUGCAAUUGACAUCAAGUGGAAUGAUGCUGCACUCAUCAGUCAAUUUCUUUAUGGAUUGCAAUACGAAGUAAAGAAAUUGAUGCUCAACUUACCUGAUCCUCAAACUUUGAGUCAAGCAAUCAAUUUUGCGGUAAAAUGUGAUAAUCGACUUUUCGAAUUUUGAUCCGAGAAUCAUUCACGGAAACCUCAACAUUAUUACUCAAUGGCAACAUCAACAUCUUUGUCAAACGUACAUUUGAAAGUAGAAGACAUGCAAAUUGACCCGGUAUGUUUUAAACCCCUAACUGAGCAAGAAAAGAUUUAUCGUCGUCAAGAAGGAUUAUGUUUAUAUUGUGGAGAACCUAAGCACACUGCUCAACAUUGUCCUAAGAAACGACGCAACUAUAAAAUGAGGGGUAUGACGGUCAAAGAAGACAACAUGUCGGAAAAUGGAUUCGUCCAGCUACAAUAGGGACCGUGCAGCUGGAACCUUGUACAAUUCCUAAUGAAGGUCCUAUCCUCUCCUCAGAACCCUCUCCUUGUUUUAUGAUAGACUUAUAUUUAGGACCUAAGAAUUACAAAGCCUCUGCUUUAUUAGAUUCGGGAGCCUCAGCAUGUUUUUUAGAUGAACGAUUUGUUAAAAGUCGUAAAAUACCCUUUGUACGGAAACCUAAACCAGUACAUGUAGAAGUCAUAGAUGGUCGUCCCUUGUCUUCUAGAGAUGUCACUCAUGAAACUCAUCCUAUAAAAGUAACAAUAGACGGUCAUGAUAGCUACAUAGCUUUUAAUAUAAUUAAAUCCCCGUCCAAUCCAAUUAUUUUAGGUUUAUACUCGCUAGAAAAAUAUAAUCCUUGAAUAGAUUGGAAUUUACGUAAACUUGAUUUUUCCCAGAGCGUUAUUAAUAGUUCUACCAACCAAGUACAAAAUUAUAAGUCUAGUAUAGUAAAAACCGUACUGAUAGGUGCAAAAGCAUUUAUAUACGCAGCAAAAGAAGGAUCAACUUUUGCUAUUUAUGCUGCACCUAUUUCUGAAAACGUAAAGACUUCAAGUGGCAUUCCAAGUCAAUAUCAGGAGUAUCAAGACGUUUUUGAGAAAAAGAAUGCAGAUAUUCUUCCUGAGCAUCGCCCAUAUGAUUGUUCAAUCGACCUCAAGGAAGGAACUCAGCCACCAUUUGGACCAAUUUACAGUUUAUCGCAAGAUGAGAUGGCUGAACUCAAGACAUAUAUUGACGAGAAUUUAGUGAAGAAUUUCAUACGCCAUUCAAAAUCUCCAGCAGGAGCUCCAAUUCUAUUCGUAAAGAAAAAAGAUGGAUCUUUACGAAUGUGUGUUGAUUAUCGAGGACUCAACAAGAUCACAAUCAAGAACAGAUAUCCAUUACCUUUGAUAUCAGGACUCCUUGAUCAGUUGAAUCAAGCUAAGAUCUAUACAAAAAUAGAUCUAAGAGAAGCAUAUAAUCUAGUACAGAUCAAAGAAGGAGAUGAAUGGAAGACUGCAUUUUGAACCAGGUAUAGACAUUUCGAAUAUAAUGUCAUGCGCUUUGGACUCACGAAUGCACCAACUGCUUUUUAACAUCUCAUGAAUGAUGUAUUACGUGAAUUCUUAGACAAUUUUAUCGUCUGCUAUCUAGACGAUAUCCUAAUCUAUUCUAAGAACGUCGAAGAACAUGAAAUACAUGUUCGUCAAGUAUUACAAAAACUUAGAGAUGCAGGAUUGUACGCCAAGAUGGAAAAGUGUAUAUUUCACACCACUCAAGUCGACUUUUUAGGAUACAUCAUUUCAAAUGAUGGUCUCAUGAUGGAUUCUAAGAAAGUCCAAAUAAUCAUGGAUUGGAAGAUUCUAAGGACAGUAAGAGAUGUCCAAUGUUUCUUGGGAUUUGCCAAUUACUAUCGGAUCUUCAUCAAAGAUUUCUCACGAAUUGCAGCUCCACUUACGCGCUUGACUAGUAAAGAUAAAUUCCAAUGGAAUCAAGAAGCGGAAGCAGCAUUUGAAGCCUUGAAGACAUCGUUUGUCUCUGCACCAGUCUUAUAUCGUGUUGACUUUUCCAAGGCAUUUUUUAUGGAAACAGAUGCAUCAGAUUUUGCCUUGGGUGCAGUUUUAUCACAAAUGGGACCAGAUGACAAACUUCAUCCGAUAGCUUUUCAUUCAAGAAAAUUCUCAGCAGCCGAGAUCAAUUAUGAGAUCCACGAAAAAGAACUACUUGCAAUCGUGGAUUCCUUUCAAGAAUGGCGUCAUUAUCUAGAAGGCGCUUCUAGUCCAGUCACUGUGUAUACAGAUCACAAGAACCUCAAGUAUUUCAUGUCAGCACGCGUGUUGAAUCAUCGUCAAGCUCGUUGGAGUAUGUCUUUGUCAAGAUUCGAGUUCAUUAUCACUUAUCGGCCAGGAAAACAAUAAGGUUUAUCCGAUGCCCUAUCUAGACGUUAUUAUUUUGCACCAAAAGAAGAAGUUGCAGCUUUUGAGCAACAAAGAACGGUCCUCUUGAAACCAGAGCAAUUUCAUCUCCGAGCAAUGAAAUCAACAUUGACUGUUGAUUCAACUUUUUUCAAGCAAAUUCAGUCCAGUAUGUCCUCAGACCCUCUUGUUCAUGAUAUCGAGAAUAAUUCUUCCAAGUCUCAUGAUCCUUCUAAGUUCGAGUUCAAGAAUAAUCUAUUAUAUUUUGAAGGACGCCUAUAUGUUUCAAAAAGAGAAGCACGUUUACGUGUUCUUCAAGCACGUCAUGACUUUCCAGCAACAGGGCACUUUGGAUAUAAUAAGACUUUGGAACUCAUAUCAAGAGAUUUUUGGUGGCCUCAAAUGUGGAAGUCAGUCAAAGACUUUGUACAAUCAUGUGAUAUUUGUUCAAGAUCAAAAAUUCCUCGUCAUCGACCUUACGGACUUCUUCAGCCAUUACCUAUACCAGAACAACCAUGGUCUUCUGUUUCUAUGGAUUUCAUCAUAGAUCUUCUAAGCUCAAGAUCUUAUGAUUCUAUAUUUGUGAUAGUAGAUCAUUUCACCAAGAUGGCACAUUUUGUGCCAUGUACAAAAUCUAUCACAGGUGAAGAAACAGCUAAGCUUUUCAUUGAUAAUAUCUAUCGCUAUCAUGGAUUACCUAAAGAUAUCAUAUCGGAUAGGGGAACUCAAUUUGUGUCAAGAUUUUGGAGGACCCUUUUCAAGAUUUUAAAAGUGGACAUAAAGCUAUCUUCGGCUUUCCAUCCUCAAAUUGAUGGACAAACAGAGCACGUUAAGCAAGUCUUGGAGCAAUAUUUAAGGUGUACUAUCAACUACCAACAAGAUGAUUGGACAACCCUUUUGCCAUUGGCAGAGUUUACUUAUAAUAAUACGGUACAUUCUUCCACGCAACAAACAUCUUUCUUUGUCAAUUAUGGCUAUCAUCCACGACUUGAUACUUUUGAUUUUUCAAAAGUUGAUAAUCCUGCAGCAGAAGAUAUGGCAAAUCGGUUGUCAAAGUUACAUGCAAUAAUGAAGACGCAAUUGAAGGAAGCUCAAGAACGACAAAAGAUAAACGCAGAUCUAUAUCGUAAGGAGCAACUACAACUCAAUGUCGGUGAUAAGGUAUGGCUACUUCGUCGCAAUAUCAACACUACUCGACCUUGUGACAAGUUGGACUAUCGUAGGCUUGGCCGUUUUUUUGUUUCUGAAUAGAUCAACCCAGUUGCAUAUCGGUUACAUCUACCGGAGUCAAUGAAGAUCCAUCCUGUAUUCUACGUGUCUCUUUUUGAACCAUAUAAGACAGUGGAUAUACAAGGAAGAAGACAAAUACCACCGCCUCCUAUAGAAGUAGAUAAUAAUGAAGAAUUUGAGGUGGAAGAGAUAUUAGACUUAAGGCGGCUCCGAAAUAAGCUGGAAUAUCUUGUUCAUUGGCGCGGAUAUGAUAUUAGUGAAUGCACAUGAGAGCCAUCCAGGAAUCUAGCAAAUGCAUCAGCUAAAGUCAAAGUUUUUCAUCAACGACAUCCAUCAAAACCAAGAUGAAAAUCUCUCUUAUUAAAGAGACAAGAUUGAAGCAAGAUAACAUUCAAUUUCCUAUCCUUGUUUGUAACUUCUUUGUAUUUGUGACGCUAAUUAGAUGGAGAGCCAACAACCAGCGGAUUCAACUCAAGAACCUUCGUUUGCUGACUUACCGGACGAGACAUUACGAUUGUCACAACCUUCAAGACGACGCAAUCGAGAUGAAGAUCUUCAAGAACGACAUGUUCUACCUCGAAUAGAUGGUGAGAUACAACACGUUUGGUAUCACGAUUUGGGAAGGGACUCUCGAUGUUUGGUGAUGUUGCUAGAGGUAGGAACAACUCCUGAUGGUGUUCCAAAUAUUCUAUUCGAUGGAAGUUACGAAGGCCUCAACAAUGAUCAAAUAACUGGGUAGUCUUCCCACCCUGGUAUGGGACACUACCGAUGGUUGAGAGGCCCUAUCAAUCAUCUUCGAAGAGAACAGAGAUCAGAGUAUGUGGCGAAUACAAUUCGUCGCAUCAUAGAUUUCUUCAACAUAUGAUGACUGCUCCUCGUGGAACUCGUCUCUAGAAGGGGGGGUAAUGUCACGGCCAUAAUCAUGUAAGCUAAUAAUUACAUAUAGAAAUAGGUAGAAGUAAGUAAAAGUAUAUAAAAGUAAGUUAAUUCUAUAAUAUUUAAUAUAGAAGCUUCCUAGAAACUUCCUAGACGCUGCUUUGACUUCAUAGGUGUCUUUAAUUGACUUUUUGGAUUAAAAACGUGGUCAACAAGUUGGCCAUGUGCCACACAUGUUGUUAGCUUGAAGAUCAAGCUAACUAUGUGGUCCACACGUAGAAAAACUUGCCUUGUAAGUCAAGGCAUGUGUCCUACAAAGUCAACACAUAUUGGAGGUCCUAUAGAACGUCACCACGUAGCCCCUAGUUAGAUAGUAUAUAUAGAGACAAGAGUGAAGGCUUCUUCACUCUUGUCAACUCCUUUCUUGCUUCUAGUCUAGUUUCAAGGGUCUCUAGUUUUCUUGUCUUUUGGCAAUAGCCAUUUUAGUUUCUCUUUUCAAUAUACAUACUUAUUAUUCAUAUUUUGUUACUUUUCUUUGAGUGAAGGCUUACUUGUCUGAACUGUUUUUUCAUCGAGUUCUUGUCCUUGACAGAAUAUUUCGAUAGAGUUUCUAUAUUUUUUUUUUCAUAUAUAUGUUAAAAAUCUUGAUAUUAGCUUAGAAUGCUACUUGAAAUCUUCUCACCAUUAAAAAAAAGUGCAAUAUAAAUGACAUAAAGUAGUCCUUCUUUUGCAGUAUGUAAGAAAGUUCUUGCACCUACAAGUUUAAUAUACUAGGCUUAUGACUUUUUACUUGAUCAACUAUAAUCUCAAUUAUACUUUCAAAAAAGUUAAGACUUCAAGAAAUUCAAUUUAUUUUUGAAUUAUAUUUUUUUAGCCAUGAUAAACCUAAAAUGAUUAGAUUAGAAAGAGAUCUAAUGAUAUUAUAUAUUAUAAAGCUACUAUGAAUAUUACCUGUUACUUCUAUAGGAAGGAUUUCAUAAGUAACAUCUUCUGAAGAUAAUGGACUAUCAUCUAUAACUUCUAUGUGAAUAAGUUUAGUUUUCUCCACUAAAGAUAUGCUAUAUUUUUUAGCAAAUUCUUCAAUUAAAAAACAUGCUAAAGCUCUUGAAUUGAACAAAGCAUAAGCUUUAUGAUGUUUAGGUCCUAAAAUAACAUUUAUUGUAAAAUAGUUAUCAAUAAAAAAACAUAGUAGUGUUCAAAAACUAGUAGUAUGUUUUUUUUUAUUGAUAACUACUAUGUUUUUUUUAUUGACAACUACUAUUUCAAAGCUUGUCUUGAAUCAAAAUGCUUAUCUAAAACUACACGUUAUAAUAAGAUAUAACUUUAAAAUUUUAUCUAAAAUUUUUUACUUUCAAAUUCUUUACACUAUUAUGUAUUAUUACAUAAAUAUUAUUUCUUCACUUUUGUAGAUAAGAAUAUGAAUAGUUAAUGGUUUUUUGUCUAUAAUUUAUAUUCAAAAAAUCUAUUUAAGCUUAGGUAUUUUAUUUAGUUUUUUAGAUGUUUUUAUUAUUCUGAUUUAGUAAUAUUAUUAUUUGAUAUUUUUUUUUAAAUUCAAAAAUUUUCAUAAUCCUCAUACAUUUUUUAUCAAAUAAUACCAACAAUGUUACUUUUAGAUAAAAAAAAUUUAUGGUGUUUUGAGCACAUGAGUUAUCAAUAAAAAACAUAGAAGUGUUCAAAAAGAAUUUACUUGUAUUCUAGGUUGAGAUAAAAACCAAAUGAGAUAAAUUUAUUUGAUCAUUUAAUUUAUUAUAUGUAGAUUUAACAACUUUAAAUUAAUAAAUUUUACAAAAACUAAAUCUGUAGGAAAGAAAUGUUCAGAAUAGAGAGUUUCAUUUGCUACCUGCUAUCUAGGAAAUGGCCUAUGGGGAAACAACAACCUAAGAAAAGAAAAAAAAAAUCUUACAGAAAAUGUUUUUAUUUGUGUAUUAAACAAAUUGUAAAGAAACCUCUCUAAAAAAAUUCAAUGUUGCAAAAUCAUUUGCAUAUGCAGGUGAUGAUGGAUUUGAGCUCUACUACAAAAUUUCUUUUGUGGACAGGAUCCCACCCCCACUGCUAACUCUACGAAUGACUUCGCUCAACCAUUCGUGGCCUGACAUGCAUAGAUUUGUAAGUAUACAACCGAGCGCACCACACAAAAGCCAAGGUAUUGGCAAAGCUGAGAAUAGCCAGAAGCCAAUAAAAAUAAUCCAUGUGGCUCCGAUUGAGGUUGUUACCGAUCCAACCACCAUUUGAAUCAUACGUGAUACGAGUGACAAUUGACACCAAGACACUACUUACAAAACUUCCCACCGCAACAGUGCUGAGAUACAACGCAUUGCCAAGGCUUCUCAUCGAAUCAGGAGCUUGGUCCAGAAAGAACUCCAUCUGACCAACACUGAUGAACACUUCACAGAUGCCUGUGAGUACAUACUGUGGAAGCAGCCAGAAGAUGGAUAUAGGCACUUGGCCAAAAUCCAUGCUUCCGGAGUCAGCUACCACUUUGAGACGCCGCAUUUCCACGGCUGCAGCUACUGCAAUAGACAGGCUUGAAAGGAUUUGUCCCACUCCGAUGCGCUGCAGUAAAGUCAGUCCCCGAAUAUCGCCCGUGAAGCCGCGAACAAAGGGAACGAAAUACUUGUCAUAAAGGGGAAGAAAAAUGCAAAUAGUGGCCGUGAUGAAGAGCGGCAUAGAAGCUGCAGGAAUCUCAAAAUUGGGCCCCAUGUGACGGUCCAUGGUGCUUCCUUGGUUUAGAAAGAGUGUACCGACUUGGGCAAAUACGGCGGAGAACAUGAGAUUUGUCCACCAGAUGGGAAGCAUUCGGACUAGUAGCUUCACCUCCUCCACUUGAGUGACUGUGCACACCUCCCAGGGGCUUUGCCUACCGUCCACCUUGUGCAUGCUGCCCUCAUCGCUUGGUUUCACAGCUGCUUUGUCCAGAAAACUGUAGCAGACAUUAGUACCGUUUCAUUAAUCUACCAGUGAAAAUUACAGAGUUCUUUAAAGGGAAUCCUACACUCGAAAUUGAAGUGGUGAUGACUAUGGCAAGCUGCAAGGUGGUCGCCGGUCUACUCGGAUUCUUGAAUUCCCUUGUCAAUGGACAGCAAAAAAAGAUGUAUGAAAAGAAGUCGAUCACAGUAUCAUUACCUAUGAUGCAUGGAUGUGCAGACACAGAAGGCAUUACGCGCGGCUAUCACUACAAAAUCCUCUGUCGGGUGCAAAUGGGUCAUGCCGAGUACGACGACGCUCUUCAAGAUAUUUGCGCAAAGUAGGAGGCAAACUGAAAGCAAUCAACCACAGCAAAAGGAUUAAGAUGAUCACAUAGCAGAAAUACGAUGACUUACUGCAAGCUUGAAGUAUGGGGAAGUCUCCUCCGAAAAGAAGAGGCAUCAUCAACUUCAUACAAGAAUUCAGGGUUGGUUGGAACGGGGAUGUUCCAUUUCCUCACCGCUGCACACAACACUUGGGCCACUCGGGUCAGAGGGCUGCCGGAGGGGAUUUGGUGUCUGUACAGGGGAGUGCCCAUAAGGAAUGCGAGAGUGGCUAGCCCUGUGAUGGCCGUGGGAACACCAUAGCCCCAUGCCCAGCCCACAUUGUCUUGCACGUAAACAAGAAUACUAACCGAGAGCAUCGUGCCAAAGCUGAUGCUCACAAACCACCAAUUCGGAAAGGACAUCCUGCGCCUCGCCUCUUUCGGAUCGUUGUUAUCGAACUGGUCACCCGCAAAUGCGGUGACGCAGGAUUUUAUACCCCCGGCGCCCAAAGCCAUUAGGUACAGAGAGAAGUAGAAGAAGCAUAUCUGGCUGGUUGAGGCUUUCUGGCAACCGGUGACCGAGGAGAGCAUGGCAACGUUGCACACGGGAGGUUUAAGGGCUGGGAGUGACACCGACAUUGUGACACACACCAAUGACUGCAAAGGGGACAUUCGCAGAGAGCAGCAGAUUAGGUUAUAUAGCUCAUAACUCCCACGAGCAAGGUUUGAGUAUUUAUGCCACUGCUCAAAUGGUGCAGGUUCACUAAAGCCGAGUGCACGUGGGUUUAAGGUUUCUUCAAACAAUUGCAUGAGAACAUGCACAGGGCAGAGGGAGUGUACCACAAUGUAGCACACAGAGGAGACUGUGAUUGUCCAGUACCGACCGAGAAAUGCAUCGCCCACGAAUGCGCCCAGCAAAGGCGUCAUGAAUGUCGUGCCCCCCCAAUUGUUCACAUUCUUCGCGGACGUAGAUACAUCUUCAUGAAGCACCGUCGUGAGAUAUAUGACCAGAUUCGAGGAGAUGGCGUAGAAUGCCACCCUCUCGCACACCUCACACCCUACAAUGGAGAAGCAAUCGGGUGCGUCUCAUUAUUAGAGGCACCACGACAAUAGACGCGAUUGAAGCCAAAAACAGAGGAGUGAAAUUUGGAAUGUUAAAGAAGCAUACCGAAGAUUAAGCUACAGGCCUUCCAGUUUCCAGAUUUUGACUUCACGCAAGGGUGACCGCGGAUAUCCACAGAGCCAUCACUCACUCUCCCCUCAUCAACCUGCAUCUCUUCCUUGUCUGAGGCAUCUUUCCCUCUGCUUGAACCGCUCAUGUACUUAACAUGCGGGGGAGGCUCAGGAACUGGAGGGUCGUCCUCUAGGAGCAUCUCACUGCUCAUUUACCAACAUUUCAAAACACUACAAAGCACUCACAUCUAGCUCUUACCAAAAUUGGAUUCUACAACAAAAGAUCAGGCCACACACAAAAUUGGAUUAGUCGUUUUACAGUUUUAGGUCUUGCCCUGGCUCGUGCAUGAUUACUUUCGAUGGUUGGGCUGUCUGCCUUCCUCACAAGCUGCUUGUUCUUCCUCUUUCGUUUCCGUUUUCCAGCAGAGGAAGGGAUUGUCGAAGUACAAAUUUAUUAGCAUGAGAUUGCAGAGAUUCCGCGUAGCUGUUUUGACACUUCUGCAAUCAUCGGAACCUUGGAAUUAUUGCGGAGCAAACUUUCAGGGCUGGAAAGCCCUCAACAUCCUUCUCACUGCUGCUUGUCAAUUGGAGGUAUCAAUCACCAUUAUAACCUCCUCAUUCAAAUCCAAACUCGCAACAAACAUGCAGUCAAGUAAUAGGAGUUCUUCCAACAGACAUAUACCUCAAGCCCAGACCAACACACUGACGAAAAUGUUUGAGGUGCAUGCAUAACAAGAAUUGGAAACUGGGGAGUCUCUUUGUCCACGGAAUCAAGCACAUUCAACUGCAAUUCGUAUGCCGGAAUGGGCGAAGGAAGCGAGAUGCAAUCUCCUUCGACACACCAGACGGGAAGGAAACCGCUGAUUAAACCUCGGGCAAGAACAGUGGCAAGAGAUUACACCGAAGGCAGUGUGACAAGGAAUCGACGGCACACAGCCGUGAGAAAAGAUUGCAUUGUGACGCUUGCAGGGUCCCUCCUGCACAGUCGGAUAGUCUACAUGGCGACGCUUUGAGCUGUUUAACCGUGACCCACACAUACAGGCACACCCUUUCAUACCGUGGCAACAUGAAACGCGCACAUAUUGGGAUUGAAACGCCCAAAUAUUUCACAACAUGCACACAGCAUGCACAUUUUUGCGAUGGUGAAGAAUAAACUUCGAUAGUUCUAAAGGGAACGUGGGUGUCUGGAGCUUAGAACUGCAAAUCUUUAGGGAUUCGAGAAUCUGGUCAAACCCCGUCGACAUACGUAAUUUAUGACUAAUGAACAGAAAAUUAGGAACGUCUUCUGCACAUGCUGAACUGGUCUUAUGAACCUGCGAAAUAACUGGAAUGGUGACUUGAUGGAGUUGCCUAAAAUGAUGGGAAUAGGAAUUACGUUACACGCAGAUGAGUUCCCAGACAGCGCUGUGGUAACUGGAUGCUUAUUGAAUUGAGACUCUGCAGGUCAGUCUUAAACCUUCCGCAAGAACAGGGAGACACAGAUCGCCACAGCCACGGUGGUUGCAAUUUACUUCCUCACUAGAACAUCCGUUUCUCAUCAUGCGCUCAGGAUUGAACAUGAAACUGGAAGUGAUCUCAUCCAGUGUUUCAGCGGGGACUAGCAGUGAUUCGUACACGUUUGGAACCGCUGUUGGUUGCCUAUACACUUUAUUGCAUCCAGUGGCCCAUUUGGGACAUUAUGAUGAAAUGCAUGCUUCGUUCUCUUGGAAGCCAACUGCUGAGUACUUGGAGUUUGAGUUGAGUUGUGUGAUGAAGAUAGUGAGGAUCGUUCAGUUAUAAUAAGCCUGAUUCAUGGCAUAGUAUAGGGAAUCGAACGUCACACCUUCGUUCUGGAUUAGGUGUUCAAUUUCACGUUGGACCAUCCGACAGUGUGAAGAUUCAGUUGCUGGUGCCAAUUAGGGGUUGCUUCGUUUCAUCUCUUUAACUUCUAAUUUGCGAUUCAACAAACAGAUUUUCUUAUUUUGCACUAGCUGUUGUUCGUAGACCGUUGCCGGGAUCCUUAGAAAUGCGAAAACUUGUGAAAUUAUCAAUACAUUUAUCUACAGAUCAACCGAUGCGUACAAAAAAUAUUGCACGAGCGUUAUGAUUGUUCCAAAAUUUUCUGUUAAAUGCUAGGUUAAGCAGCAAUUGCAAGAUACUAGUAUGUAAGCAGAGAUGCCAGGCAAAAUUUCUUUGUGGCUGGAGUCUCAGACUCAGAUAAGGAAGUGCAUUUGCGAUAAGAUUGUUUUUUGUCACGGGAAUCAUGGAACGGUGGGUGUGCAAUUUGUUGUCGGUGAAAAAUGGCAACGUUUAUUACUGGCUCCUUGGCCUUUGGUGCCUAAUCAUAUACGACACUUAGCUCAAGGCGUAAAUUCCUUACCGAGAAGCAUUAAAAGCCGGCGACAAUUCAAUGUAGGGUCUUUACGCGAAUUCCGUGGGAGCUCUGUAAGUCUUAAUGAGGCACGAAGCAGCUUUCAGCUCUAUCCCCGCAGCUUUGACAUCUUCUCCCGAAGCCGCAAAUUCGUAGAGGGUUUUCGUGGAAGUGCACUGCGUUCCUUGCAUGGGAGCAAUAUGAGGUUCAAUCAGCCCAAAGCCGUUCCUCUCUCGAAAUUGAAGGAUAAUUUUAUUGAUGGUACCAGUGGUAAUUUCUUGGAGGAACAUCAGCGGCAGUGGGAAGCUGAUCCUCAGAGUGUGGACGUGUCUUGGCAAAUCUUUUUCAAAAAUUUCACUGGGUCGAGUGGAGGAAAAGGGCGAGCUUCGUCUGAAGUGACUUCAGCAGGCCAUGCUACUCAGGUAUCUGGUACAGAAGAUUGAACUGAGGAUCUCUGUGAACUCUAAUCACGUCCAUUCUGUCUCCUGGAACUGCAUGUGCUUUUCUACAAAAGACAUCAUGAUUUUGUUACGAUCCGCGGUUGUCUAAGAGGUGGCUAGAUUUCUAAAUGCUUCCAUCGCUCAAUUUGUGUAUCAUUCUGUAGUGGAGAAUGCCUUACUUCUUAGCUCUGUUCAUGAAAUUUUGGAUUAAGCCCUUCAUUAUACUUCCUCACUUUUCAACCCUGCUUUACCCCCAGGAUGGUUUGCGGAUUGCGAUGUUAGUUAGAGCUUACCAAGUUAGUGGCCAUAUGAAAUGCAAACUAGACCCAUUGAAUUUGGAUACCAAAGCUGCACCUGCUGAGCUAGACCCUGGCAGCUACGGAUUCUCUGAAUCUGAUAUGGACCGAGAGUUCAACGUUGGUGUUGAAACAAUGGCUGGGUUAUUGGGUGGAAAUCAACCCCAGACAUUAAAAAACAUCAUUUCACGGCUGGAGAAUGUUUAUUGUGGAACCAUAGGCUACGAAUACAUGCACAUACAAGACCGGGAUAAGUGCAACUGGCUCAGAGACAAGAUUGAAAAUCAGGUGACUGAUUCAAUUUAGCCUUUGGAGCUGAAAAUCAAACAAAUCGUUAGCAUCACCUAAAUUGACCUAUUUUCACGCGUAAUCAUCUCCUGAUCAUAUUAACCUUUAGUAUUGAGGUUUUGCCACCGUGCAUUGUCUUGCAUGUAGACUUUGAUACAGUGGAGUUUCUUGAAACUGCAUGAAUUUAAGCUUGUUGACGAUAUAGCCGUUCUAAUAUUUCUGAAGUGUUAACAGAAUGUUUCGUACACUCCUGCUCAAUGUGCGGAGAUUUUUGACCGGUUGAUGUGGGGGACCCAUUUUGAAAGCUUUAUAGCUCAGAAGUGGACAGCAGCAAAGCGAUUUGGGCUAGAGGGAUGCGAGACUCUGAUCCCCGGAAUGAAGGUAUGAAUAUGUGUAAUCACCUUUUGAAUAGUAACGUGUAACCCUACUGAAACGUAUGUAUACUAGUUAAUUUUUCUCUCGAGGAUGAUACUUUGCUCAAGCAGUUCCUCCAUUUUACUAACGAGACGUAUACAUUCGCAGGAGAUGAUCGAUACUGCAGCAGAUUGUGGAGUGGAGAGUAUUGUUAUUGGGAUGCCCCACCGUGGGCGAUUGAAUGUGCUGGGAAACGUAGUACGAAAGCCACUGCGGCAUAUUUUCAGCGAGUUUAGUGGAGGCAUCAAACCGGUGGGAGAGGAUGGGAGCUACACAGGCAGUGGUGAUGUGAAGUAUCACUUGGGCACAUCUUAUGACCGGCCCACCCGGAGUGGCAAGAACAUCCAUUUGUCCUUAGUGGCCAACCCUAGCCAUUUGGAGGCUGUAGCACCGGUAGUAAUUGGCAAGACACGUGCUAAGCAGUACUACGGUCAAGACAAACAGCGGCUUAAGAAUAUGGCGGUAAUUUUGCAUGGUGAUGGCAGCUUCUCUGGCCAGGGAGUCGUGUAUGAAACCCUGCACCUGAGUGACCUCCCCAACUAUACAACGGGUGGCAGCAUCCACAUCGUUGUCAACAACCAGGUCUGUAAUAACGGUUUUUUCGCACUCUCUUCAUUCCAAUUCUUUUGCAUUGGAAACGAGUUUUGCAAUGUAGGCUACAACUCUGUAAUAUCAGAACAUUCCAGACUUGCCUCUUGACAGUUCUCUUGUUUUCUCGUGUUUAUGUUUCAGGUUGCCUUCACAACAGACCCCAAGUUCAGUCGCUCCUCACCUUACUGCACUGAUGUAGCGAAAGCACUGUGCGCCCCAAUAUUCCAUGUAAAUGGGGAUGAUGUGGAAGCCGUCACACGCGUUUGUGACUUGGCUGCUAAAUGGCGCUGUCACUUCCUUUCUGAUGUAGUUGUGGACAUCGUGUGCUAUCGAAGGUAAAUUACAUGUCAUUUUCCAGGUGCACUAGGAGUCUUUUAUCCGUCAAUACAUUCUUAUGACUGCUCUCACCUGUAGAACUGUUCCUCAUAUUUCAAGCUAAUGAUUUUUUAUUUUUUAUCUUUUAUUUAUUUUCUAUAUUCGUUUUUUGUGCUUUAUUUUUUCUUUUUUUUUGUUUUGGUAUUUUUGGGGUACUGCAGAUUUGGACAUAAUGAGAUUGAUGAGCCAUUGUUUACACAGCCUACUAUGUACCAUGUGAGACCCUCAUUUCUUCAACCAUAUCUUUGUUUAUCUUGUGCAUACUGGAUUUUGGAAGUUGUUGUGAUAAGGUCACAAUGUGUUGGUUCAGCCAUAUUUGAACUUUUCGCAUGAACAUUCCUUGCUUCAGGUAAUAAAAAGCCAUCCAAACUCACUUGCUAUAUAUGAGAAGAAACUUAUUGAAAAUGGACUUUUAGCCAACGGCGAGAUAGAAAAAAUGAAGGCCAAAGUAAUUGGAAUAUUAAAUUCUGAAUUUGAGAGUAGCAAAAACUAUGUUCCAAAAAAACGCGAUUGGCUUGCAGCGUUUUGGGCAGGAUUCAAAGGUCCAGAACAGUUGUCAAAACUACGAAAUACAGGGUAAUACGCAUCAUUGCGAUUUGCAAACGUGACAACUAAUCGCGUGCCGUGUUUUUAAUUCACAAAUGAUACAUUUAAACCAAUUUAAGAGAUAUCAUUAGACAAUACAAUUAACUAAUCAGGAUAUUCAUUUACUAAUCUUGACAGUGUGAAACAAGCAAUAUUGAAAGAAGUUGGAAAGAACAUCACUCUGCUUCCAGCCACAUUUAAUCCACAUAAAGCAAUCAAGCGAAUCUACGAGCAAAGAGCUCAAAUGGUCGAAAAGGGUGAAGGGGUAGAUUGGGCAACCGGUGAAGCACUUGCCUUCGGAACUCUUUUGGUAGAAGGCAACCAUGUUCGUCUCAGUGGACAAGAUGUUGAAAGAGGGACUUUUAGUCACCGCCAUGCCAAGGUCCAUGACCAGAAAAAUGGACAAGUAUAUUGCCCACUGGAUCAUGUUCUGAAAAGCCAGCCGCCUGAUUACUUCACCGUUUCGAACAGGUACGAGAUAUGUUUUGGCACCACAUAAUCUAUUGUGCAGUGACUUGCUAAAGUCUCGUACAUUGGUUCAAACUAUUUAUUUUCUCGCCGCAAGGCUUCUCGAAUCUUACGUUGGGUUGUGACAGCUCUUUGUCAGAAUUUGGAGUGUUGGGAUUUGAAUUGGGGUAUUCGAUGGAAAAUCCCAACUCCUUGGUUUGUUGGGAAGCCCAGUUCGGCGACUUCUCCAAUACUGCACAAGUCAUCUUUGAUCAGUUUGUCUCUAGUGGUGAAUCCAAGUGGUUACGCCAAACUGGAUUGACUGUGUUGCUCCCACAUGGAUACGAUGGUCAAGGUCCUGAGCAUUCAAGCGCUCGUUUGGAGCGAUACCUUCAGGUACGUAGUGCUGCUUUCUUCAUUAUCAUCUUAAGGGAUGAAGAUGUGCAUACUGGUGAAUUCUUUCUGGCUUGUGUCAUUUAGUGUUAGAUUAAUAUGAUGGACAUAUCAUGAAACUUCAUGCGAAUGUUACACCCCAUUUAUGUGGGAUAACUCUGGUUCAGAAUCUCAGUUCAAUGCUUACUAUCUUCUUCCUCAUAUUGUCAUCUAGAAGGACACGCACAGAUUAAUUACUUACAAGUAUUAUGUAAAACUAGAUGUGUGACGACAAUCCGUUCAAGUUCCCAGUAUUGGAAGCUGACUCCACGAAACAAUCUCAAGAAAUCAACUGGCAAGUUGUAAAUGUCACCACACCUGCCAACUACUUCCAUGUACUUCGUCGACAGGUGAGUUUUAUAUUUCACUUAACAUUCAUUCAAUGUACUGGAUUGUAUUCGCAUGUGGAGGUACUGUGUGAGGUUCAAUGUAAGCUGUAGUACUCAUUUGUUAUGAUUUCCUGCUACAAAAUAGGUUCACCGUGACUUUCGAAAGCCAAUGAUUAUUAUGUCUCCCAAAAAUUUGUUAAGACAUCAAAAAUGUCGUUCCAGUUUAUCGGAGUUUGAUGAAACAGGAGGUAAUGGUUUUCAACGUCUUAUUAGAGAUGUUGGCGGCCACAAAGAAGAAGAAGAUGGUAUUCGACGUGUAAUCUUUUGCACUGGAAAGGUAUGAAUUUCCUCGAUAAUGUGAAUUUUUCCUGGGAUAAUGUCUUUGUAUGUCUAUAGCAUUCUCCCAAUGCUUGUGAUCCACUUAAUCAGAAUUUUUACUCCGAACUUUUCGAGCAUCAGUAUCUAGAAAAUCCUGAUAGCUACAACCAUAUUGUUUUAAUAAACAUAGUCAAAUUGACAAUUCUCAGCUAAUAUCUUUGAGUUUCUUAGGUGGAUCAGAUUCUAACAAUUGAUGAAACUUGUGGCGUCAGAUCUAUUAUGAACUCGACGAAGAAAGAGAAAGAGCUGCAGCGAAGGACGUUGCAAUAUGCAGAGUUGAGCAAAUAUGCCCUUUUCCCUUUGACCUCGUACUACGAGAACUCAAGCGAUAUCCUAGUAAGUACCAUGUACUCGUCUGUACAGUUUUCUUUUUCUUCUUGUAGGUUAUUUUUCAUUACAAAUUUUUAUUCAAACCACACACGCCCUGCACCUGAGUCUAAUUAUCAUGAUCCGGUGUAUUCUAUCACCAGAGGCUGAAAUUGUGUGGUGUCAAGAGGAGCCGAUGAACAUGGGUCCAUUUCUGUUCGUGUUUCCUCGUUUAGGAGCAGCCAUGAAAUCGGCGUGCAGGGGAAAACUUGAAGACAUCAAGUAUGCAGGGAGGCCUGCGUCUGCAUCACCCGCAACAGGAUUUGGCGAUCUUCACACUAAAGAGCAGAAAGGACUAGUUGAAAGGGCAAUUCAGAAAUCGCUCCUUGCUUUGAUAGAAUUAAACGGGUAGUAUUGGUCAUCGAGUCAAUGCAGCAGACAGAGUUGUGGAAUGAAUUAGUAAGUCUGUUUUGGUCAUCUCCAACUUUGAGGAUUAAUUCCCGUUGUUGCUACAUAGAGUUGCUUGUCUUGGUUGUCGUGGCCAAAUGCAAGCAAAGUUUUGAAAAGAGAUUUUAAAAAUGAACACCUCAACCUUCCCUUUCUUAACGACGGGAAUGGGGUUGGCUCAUCAAUGUCGUCAAAAGCGAGGUGGUAGUAGCACCUCUACCACUGGGGUUGGAUUGAUGCGUAAUCGUUGAGCUUGAAGGUGCAAUAAUAUUAACUGAGAAUUUCCAGGUUUAAACGGUUAUCAGAUAACGUGACAUGGCUGAGGGUGUUGGCCGUGCGACGAGAUAGUGGUGCAAAUCAUCGGAGCCUCGUGAGGACCCCAGUUGGUGAGGAAUGGGCUGGAAUCUUAAAGACUCUGGAGUCUUGGAACUUUGUGGUGACCCGCAAUAGCCCUCACAUGGCCCUCCCUGGAAGAACUUCUUGCCCCUCCCUGUGCCAGUUGUUGCAUCUCCCAUUGAGUCUCGAUUUACAAUCCAUUCCAGUGACUGUCUGGAGGCAUCUUCGUUUAUAUAGCUGCAGUGCGACCCAAUUUGCAGGUUUCAUAUUACUUUAAGGCUGCAAAUGUGGCCGACUCACAGCCUGGAUCAUGCAUGAUACGUCAUUCUGAUCACUUGGGAAAAAACUUAGCAAUUUGAGGUUCGUAAAGGCGACGUUGAUGAGGCUCUCCGGAGGCGUUAAGUUUAACGUAUGGUAUGUCCGGCCAGAGUUGCAUAUACACUCCUAUUCAAUACCUUGAUCGUAGCAUCACUCAUAAAUAGGUCUCGACUUGUUAUUCUGUGUGAAGAGAACGAAUGUGAAUGACUUUAAACCUUGAGAAUCGACCAUUUGGGAGAUUGUGGAUGCAUCCCAAUUCCAGCUCAAAAUCACAGCACUCGCGGCCACGUAGUCAUCAGCAUGUCGAGCAGAUUGACGAAGAAUAAGACUCUCCAGGUGAAUCUUCGAUAAUCUAUCUCACUCGGAAUAUUUGUGUAUAUUCUCGGAUUGACAAGCUGUGAACCUGCGCUGAUCAGGUUGUAAAUUUCUGAGUUAUUGAAAGUUGAUUAAGUUGACCUCCUUAAUUUUCUGUUGAUGUCCAUCGCCGUCCCUGCAAGUUAGAUAAAAAAAAAUCCUAGGAGGAAUAUCACAACUCCGUAGUUAUUAGGACUCUGCAACCAUUGCCUGGUUGUACAUGAAUCUCGAUCAUCUUCAAAUUUUUGUGUUUGAUGCACGAAGUGCUUGAGAGGUAGAUCAUCGAAAGGAUGGCAAUUUUGCAAGAUUCCUCGAAGAUUCCCCACUCCCAAUGCUAUUUACGUGUCUUGUCCCACAUCCUUUAACAAUUUUAGGAUUAAAGCACCGAAGUUUUAAAACCAUACCAUUACAGGCUUUCCAAUCAGAAGUACCAAUGUUGCCAGCGAAGGUUCCCUCCUGGUACAAGUACGAGGAAAAGGCCAUUUAGAGGAAUUUGAGAGUAGUAGAAACAACGCACCUUGUUCGGUACCCGUACCCAAUAAUGUGUAACGGAUAGUCCUUUACGUCCAUGGUUGAGAAAGAGACCAAAAGACAUUCUUCAACUUUAGUGGAAAACCAUCCUCACAAGUAGCAUCUCAGGACGAUCACAGCAAAGAACUGUUUCAUUCGUCUAUGAGAUUGCAUCACAAGCAAUACAACAACUAACUCAUCUACUCAUGAUCCUGAGGUUGUUAAUAGAUGUGAUAUGCAUUAGUGACAAGAGCCUCACAGGAGUAGGAGACUAGGGCUCACCCUCCGCAGACACUUUCACCAGGUGGCAAUCUCGUCAGUGGAUUUAUGACAGCCCAUUUCUUAUGAAACAAGAUGAAACACUUGCUUAUGUCGAGCCAUUGCAUGAACUGAAUUUUUGACUGUAAGAGGUCCUCAUAUAGGGUCCAAAUGAGUAUCCACUAGCUAGACCAUACGACACUUGAGCGGCUGAAAAUUUCUGCAAGAAGAAAGAUUCCUAACCAAUGAUGCAAAACCAACGGGAUCAAACUUUUCGGCAAGCAAAUUUAACAGGCUAUGAAUGCAAGAUAUCUGGGUUGCGACCCGCAACGCCUUUCUCCUUCGUUAAUUAUAUUCGUAACCCUUUUGUCCUAUUCCGCCAAUUGAUCAAUCAAGAUCACGAGUUGCAAACCUCGCGUUAUGCUUGUAAAAUCUGCUUCUAGAAAUCUACGUGUGGAAAGGUUGGACAUGAUUUGUCUCAUGUUGAAUUCGGCAUCACCAAUAUCCACAAUCAUACCCUAGAAUCAAACACCCAGUGCAUAAAAUCUCUUUGCUGAUUUGUUACAAUUUCUCGUUAUUGUUAACAUUAUCUUUUCUUUCUUCGAUAAACUGGAAAUUUCAAGUGAAAGAUGUGCUGAAGAGUUAACCCGCCUCCAACUUGUCAAUUGGUUCAUUAGCACCUAUAAUGAAAUCCACCAUACAUAGUGUUCUCCGUCGACUAUUCUACUCAGCAAUUAUGAGCGAUCUCAGAAGGUGCACCACUAGACAUUAUCUAUUUUUUUAAAACUUUACAGGUCGCCCUCGAAGUUCAGCUCCAUUUAAGAAGAGAAGUGCAAACUACGAGCGUCUGCCAGGUGGUAUUGGACGUCAGGUAAUAAAUAAGAAAUAGUGGAGAGGUUUAAGGAAGAAAUUCCUGAGAGACAUGUCAUUACACCAACAGGUUCGAGAUCUUAUUGGUUGGUGAUGGAGAAUAUCAUAUGAAGAAGCUUUCUUCUGCGAGGAAGUCCUUACCUCCCUUUGCAAAUGGGUCCCUAGAAGUUUGUGAGCCCACCACGUUGCACCCCUCCUCUUAAGAUUCCGACGGCCCAGUCCUCGACAAUUACCCCAUCAUCACUCACAUGCCAUCUCUCCUCCUCCGUGCAUUCAUUUCCGUAGUUUGUCGUCACUCUGAAUCCCUCUUUGGUCGUUAUUCUUCCUCCAGCUGGGAUUGUUUCAGGACCGCUGGAGUGAGAAUCCUUGGUUUCGGUCUCUUUUGGAUCCCGGUUUGUUUUGCGGGGUUGCAGAGUGUGUUAGUGAGUGAGUGCCUGCGUGAGUGAGUAAGGGAGGAGGUGCACAGACUGUAACGAGAUUUGCAUUCAUGGCUGUCGCGCAAGCCAUGUCCUCCUUUGACGCCGCUUUACAGCGCAAUGCUGUGAAUGUGGUCGCACGGGAUCCCCAUUUGCAUUCUGGGAAUCCUGUGCAGAGUGUGCUGAGGUACGGGGCGAGAAUUCGUUCGAGCUCAGCUCGAAAUGGGCGGAUUAGCAAGGACUUUGGGGGUGGUUUUGUGGCUCGCGAGGAACGGGUUGGAUCAAUUCUGGUGCACAGGACGAGGACCCAGCUUGCACCGAAAGCUUUGAGUGAGGAUGCCACUCCAGAGUUCUCGAAGGUGGUCUUACGGUUCUGCUUGUUCGGUGUUGUUGAAUCGAAUUCUGUUUUCUGUCUUCUUCUUCUUCUUCUUCUUCUUCUUCUUUUAUUUUUUAAAUUUUUUUUAGCUCUUCUUGCCUCGAGCUUUGCAAAUGUCAGGGUUAACUAGCUUGUGAGCAACUAACGGAACCAUGUUGAGCUCUUCUUCCAGGGAGGGGACGAGGAGGCUUUGCCUACCAGCGAUUACAAGCGAUGGGACGCAGUCACGGCACGCGUUGCUGAAUCUGCAACGGUGGCAUUCCUGCUUCUGCAACUGCCCCAAAUUGUCCUCAACACGCAGAAUCUCAUGUCGGGGAACCUCGUUGCCCUCACUGCCAUACCCUGGAUGGUAUGCACAUAGUUUCGCAUGCUUUUCUUUCUUGAUAGUUUCCGACACAAAUAAUGUACUGUGGAUGUUGCGCAUAAAUUGGUCCAUCUGGUGAACAGCUCUGGUACUCUGUGGUUGAAUGCAGGGCCAGUUGACAGGACUUCUUGGAAACUUGUCGCUUCUCUCGUACUUCGCAGGAAAGAGAGAGCGGGGCGCAACAAUUGUGCAAGCUGUGGGUGUGGUUUCCACUGGGGUUGUGCUGUCGCAGCUGGCAAUUGGAAAGGCAAUGCCCUUCCCAAUUUAUGUUGCAACAGCUUCCGUGGUGAUUAUUGGCCUUCUUCUUAACUGGCUGAGCUACUUCAACAAGCUUAGCCCUAGCCUCUGGCAGCUAUGGGGCGAUGCCGUCACCGUCGGUGGGCUUACGGUGCUUCCGCAGGUGUGCUGCGGAAUACCGUUUCGCUGCUAAUGAUUUCUAUUCUCCAUCAUCUUAACGUUUUGCCGCCAUUGCCGUAUGGAUUUUUCAUUUGUAGUGACAGUAAAUUUCGUGUCUCCAACUGAAGAAAACCUACUCGGCUUAAUUAAGUCGGACGUAUCGGCAGAGAUUUUCUUCGUUUAGGUUUCGAUUAUCUUCAGUUUCUCAACAAAUGUACAUGCUUAUCAAGGUUGUCAAAUGCAGUGCAGAUUAGAAAUUAAUGUUUUAUCAGACUUGCAAAUUUUCCAUCUGAUUGCCGAACUGACUUCUUGUCAGGUCAUGUGGUCAACAUUUGUGCCAUUCAUUCCGGCCUCCAUCCUCCCAGGCACCGUUUUUGGCGCGCUUGCUUUGCUACUGGCCAUUCUGGUAUACAUCAUUUUAAUUGGCUCUGUCUUCAGUCAUUAUGGGUAGAUUCGUGAUAACAGCUACCUUUAUAGUCUGUCCUCUAUUAACAGUUGUUAUGACAUGGUACGACAGGCUCGGCUCAACAAGCUGCCACCAUCUGCUUUAAAAUUCUACACAGGACUCUCGGCAUGGACAGCAACUCUUCUCUUUAUGUGGGGUCCUGUAGCGCAGGCGGUAUGUGCUUAAGGCACAAUUUUCUAGGCUGAGAAUUGAAACUGCUUUUUCCUUGUUAUUUAGCUCAUUUUUUUGGAGAAACGAUCUCACGCACUGAAUGUUUAACUUGUUGACCUUGUUGGACAGUGGUCGAAUUAUUUGAAUCCUUCCAACAUCAAGGGCUUGUCAGUCCUCACCAUCUUGCUCGCCAUGGCCGGCAAUGGUCUGCUACUGCCACGUGCUCUAUUCACCCGCGACCUGAUGUGGUAAGAUUUUGCAAUAGUGAUAAUUGAGCUGUAGUUAAGCGUUCGACAUCUGCUUGUGCAUUAUAUUCUCAUUUUUGGAGUAAGUGGUCUAUCGACAGCAGAGCGCUGUAUUUGAGAUACUUGAACAAUAUUGUGUCAGAGAUGCUUAUUUGUAUUCUGGUGUGAAUACAGGUUCACAGGAUCGUCUUGGGGUACUCUGCUACAGGGUUGGGGAAUCCUUGUCACUAUGUUUGUGUAAGCAGUUCGCGACCAUUUUUCUUUUGUAUCCACCUUGUGCGCUAAUGCAUGGCUUGUAUGUUAGCCUAUCCGACUGAAUGAAGGGAUGUUCAUUCUCCAUACACACCCAAACAUUAAUUUCUCUACUUUCUAACUUGACUCGGGAUUUUACGACUUGGUGCCAGUUCACAAACCCCCGACAGAUCAAUCUUACAUGAUAGGGUGUUGAACAUUGGUGUGGUUUUAAUAAAAUCAUUUCGCCUAGUGGAUUCUCUGACGUAACUGUUGUCUGAUUUGAUGUUGCAGGUUUCAAGUUAUCAAUGAGGUAUAUUUCUACGGAGUCAGCGCUGUACUUGCGGUUUGGCUAGGUAAUAUAUCCUUCACCUCUUCAGAUGCAUGUGCCGCUGCCUCACCUUCGUUUGAGCAAAAACAAAAUUGUCGUGUCUAUAAUCUAAGUGAAAUAGAACACAAUUGAUAAGUUAGAUCACAUGAAGGGCAUAUACCUGACAUUCUCGUCUAUAUUUAUGCAGGCUGGAUGUUUGUUAAUGAUGCCAAAGCUUACUCGCUGCGGUCUCCCGUCGCGCCAUUGAUUGAACUGGUCACUGGAAGUAGGUCUGCGUAAUGUAAAAUCGACAAGUGUCUUACUCCUUCUCACUGCUUAUGUCACAUAUCUUGUGUUAGCGGUAACCUGCCCAGGUAACUGUAAAAUAGCGAGAGCGUCGUGCAGGACGAAUAGGCUUGCUGAAACUUGCACAAAUCCUCGCUCUUUGAGCCAGCAGAGUGAUGUCUUCACUUUUAGUGUAUGCCUAGACCUGUUAAUCUCGACCAAAACUGUUUAUUCAUUAUUCUAGAAGUCAACUACGGAUGCAAUGUGAGGAAGACGAAGUUUUCUAGAAGCCAGAUUGUAUGGUUAAAAUUGAUGCUUCUGGAUAUCCUCUUUGGAAGGUCCACUUUUGUGCAUAUCAAGUUUAUUCUUUGCUACCUCUCUCUCUUCCCCAUUCUGUUUUAUAAAAUCGUUUUGUCCUCUUUGCCUCUCUACCUUAGUUCCUUGACACUGCAUUCACAAGGAUUUCUGGAGGCUGAGGUAAGCAGUUAUGUUCACCCUGCCCUUAGUGAUUCAGAUUUUGAACUUCACUGAUCAACGAAAUCUUCUGUUGUACGACCUCUUUACAACAAUCUACCCUACGGACCAGGAACGCAGAAUAAUGAAAGAAAAAGCGCAUUUCACAGUGAUGAGGUUUUCACCAAACUGCUUGACCUGAUUAGAGCCAUUCUAUUCAUGUUUCCUUUUUAAUUACCUGACUUGAUCUGGAAGGUCUUGCACUAAGAACAAAAUAGAAAUAAGAACUAAUAACAUUGACAACCAGCCUCAGAUGUGUCACUGCAAAUAUCCAAAACAGAUUGCAGUGUCAAAGCAUCCCACAAAAGUAGGAAAAAGGAUGUGUUUGAUCAUAUUAUAAACUACACAUACAUGCACACACUACUUGUACCAAUAAGUGAAGUAAAUUAUGUGUUCGUGUUUUCUUUGCUACAUGUGAUGACAUGGAUGAAAAUUACUAACAAUAUAUGGAAGUCAAAGAGUAAUGAAUCUCACAGAAUGCCAUCAUAUCGUUUUUGGAAAACCAGGCGCUCUACUUUCGAAGUGUUUGAAAUUCAUUGUAACUCUUAAAGUGGGUGGUCACAUUCAGGAGACAAAGUGCGAGGCUGCAGCUGCUAUAUCUUUUGAUUGGCUGAAACUAGGAAGCCAACCACAAGAUUUGAAAUUGGUGACCUGUCACCUUCACCACUAAUUGUAAAGACUCCCUAACAUUAUGCCUUAGUGAAUUCAGUUCUUAGAUUUUGAUUCUUGUGCAUGUAAUGCCAGAAAGUGCAUACAUGAUUUACACACAUGAAAUCCAAGAACUUUCUCUGUAUUGAACUUUAAGUUGAAAAAGAAAUAAAUGCCCAGGGGAUUGUAAACGUACACAUAUUUAUAAAUAAAGAAUGGAAAAGAAAACGAAGGUUAUUUUAUUUCAAAAGUGAUUACAAACUCGCAGUUAUUUAUUUUUUUCAUACAGAAAAUGAUAGAAAUUAUUCUAUGUCAUCCAUAUCUAUAUAUUUAACCUCAUGCUGCAAAAUCUGAUGAAUCAAACAGGAAAUGUUUUAGGUCAGUUCAGCUUAUUAGAAACAAAAAAUAAGAAAACAGCACACCUCCUCCAGGGUUACGAAAUGGUCUGUGGGUAGAUCACUCCUGGGUUUUUCUUUCUUUCUAUUUAUUUUAUUUUCGUUUCCUGGAACUGUUUCGAACGCUCUAAAUUUGCAGGGUAACAGGAUGUUUACUCUGUGGCUGUGGAUAACAAGUCAACACGGUGUCUGGGUCUCUAUGUGUGUGUGUACAGUGUGUGUACAGUGGAUGACUAGGAAAAGUAUGUAUGUUUAGUUCCUGAUUUUUACAUAGUGACUCAGCCCAGAUUGUGGAGGCACACGCGGUGGUGUUCAAAGGAGGUCGAGGAGUGAGUGUGCCUCACCUAAGCAGAUGAUCCGUAUGAGAGCAGGUGAGGCUCAUCACUGCACAUUCUUCAUAGCUUUCAUUGUUUGGCAGCGUACUGGAGCGAUGUAGCAUAUAUUUUGUUCCGUGAGGAAGCCUUCACUAAUGUGGGUGUUGCCCCUUCGACCUCUUCCCUCUUUGUUAAAUCUAUAGUCUCUCGUGGUGCAGAGGAUUGUGCUAUGUCUGUAGGGGUAGUAAGUUGAGCUUCGACUGGGAUUGGGGUGAAGGGAAUCGACCGACUCUUUUGAUUCACCUGGGUCUUUUUACAUGCGAUUUAAUGCUCUGGAAAGGAAGUUAGGGCAAGGGUUGAUAGUGGGCUGCUACAGCGAGGACGCGAAGUGAUCCUCAGGGUUGUGACCCAACCGCGAUGGAGUGAAGUUUCAAGGACUGGGUUUGGCUUACGUGUGUAAUCCGACUUAUUCAGUCGGUAGCUGGAUCAUGAAGCAAUUUAUUUAGGACUGGCGAGAGCACAUGUAGCGCGGAUGAUCCCUUCUAGAAAAGGGUUAGGUCAUUGAAGACACCAAGAUUCUCGUGGGCUCCUUGAAGAUAUGUCCUUGUUGUAGUGCGUAGGUAUACCGAGAUGCGGGUAGAGGGUCAGGUGGGGGCAGAGAGGAUGAGUUGUGCGUGGGUGCAUUGACAUGCUGCAGCGAUUCAAAGCCAAGGUACAAUGUUACAAGACCUGAUUGGAUAUUAUUGUCAGUAUUCUUAGUAUGAUUGUUUUGAUGAUGAUGUCGAUGGCGAUGGUGUGAAAGGGUUGUUUACUUGAGGAGGAAAACUCUCUAAUGUGUGCUUGAACAUUGCAUCUCAUCGGACAAGCGCUUUGGUUAGUAUGUUUCCAGUACGAAGGAGUUAUAGUUCUAAUUCUGCAGUAACCUAAUCUGGGAGCUGUAGUCAUGUUUUGGAAGCUAUAGUGGGGGUUCUGGUUCAUUGGGUAGUUUUGUUUUGUGUGCUUUUAUAUCUUUAACUUUGUUUUUGGAGAUGCUGGUUGAGAAGCAUUUUACGUCACACCCAUACGCCCUACUCUAGGGAGUUCUGAUGUUUAAAAUGAACGUAUGUUGACGAAACUAUCAUUUUAAAAUUUUAAAAUUUUCGUGCUACAGAUGGUGUUAUUUUUGGAGACACUGGUUUUGGAGGAAGGCAAUAAAGGUGACGAUAUGCAACGUCUUAGGGUGCAGUGAGUCAUGGUCCUUGCUGUGUUUUAGGGAUGAAAACAAAGGUAGAUAUCUUUACAAGGACAAUGGAGACUAAAAUGUAUCCCUUUAAGAGAAACCAUAGCUCUGCAGGUCGAGCUAUGUCAUCCCUUGUCCUUGCAGUUCUGCUUUUGCUAGCAUUUCAGUUCGCAAUAUGUCUAGUUCAGGGAGAGACCCUACAAAAUAUUCAGCAGAUUGGGACAUUAGAGGCCCAAGUAGCACAUGCGGCAACCAUUACCCAUAACAUAUAUAAUUCAGGAGAUCAAUUGGUCCCAGAGUCUACUAAAAGUGUUCCGGUUUCCACAGUAGCAUGGCUCACACUGGCCAUGGCCGUUGCAACUGGAUUAGGCGCCGUGCCCUUCUUCUUCGUGCAGCUGGAGCCUCGAUGGGGAGGUAUAUGCAACGGCGUUGCUUCAGGCGUGAUGCUCGCAGCAAGCUUCGAUCUCAUUCAAGAGGGUCAAAAGUUUGGAGGAGGUAGUUGGGUUGUUAUCGGCAUUCUGGCUGGCGGACUGUUCAUUCUUCUCAGUCAGAAACUUGUGCACGAUAAUUUUGGAGAAGUCAGCAUGCUGGAUGUGAAGGGCGCGGACGUUCCCAAAAUGAUAUUAGUGGUCUCAAUCAUGACCCUGCAUUCGUUUGGGGAAGGUUCUGGAGUAGGGGUAUCUUUCGCAGGCCCAAAGGGAUUUUCUCAGGGCUUGAUGGUUACGAUUGCCAUAGCGGUUCAUAACAUUCCGGAGGGAUUAGCUGUAAGUUUGCUCCUUUCAAGCCAAGGAUUAUCAGCGAAGCAAUCCAUGCUAUGGAGUAUCUUCACAUCCCUACCACAGCCGUUAGUAGCCGUUCCUGCAUUUAUGUGUGCUGAAGCAUUUCGCCAAUUUCUGCCUUUCUGUAUGGGCUUCGCCGGGGGCUGCAUGAUAUGGAUGGUAAUGGCAGAAGUUAUGCCUGACAGUAUUAAAGAUGCAGGGAAGGCGGAGGUAGCAACGGCUGCCACCCUUGCCGUGACUUUCAUGGAGGCUCUAAGUGCGUUGCUGGAAAACCCGGAGGGAGGCUCUGGUAUGAGGAAUGUUAAUAUGCUAUUAGCUUAUCUUAGCUUUGGAAUUGGUCCCUUCGUCGGGGCUUUGAUACACAUGCUACUUCUGAGCUCCAUCAAGCUGCCACUGGCUAUGGCUACUGGAAUUGGGGGAGGUGUUGCCUUCGUGGUAGCGACAUGGAAACCCUUGCAAUUUCUAUUGAAAGGCAAGCUGAAUAUCCUUUAUGUCUUCCUACUUCUAUUUUGUGGAGCAUUCUCUCACUUUGUGCUUCGAAAGCGCAUGGAAUCUAGAGCCAAGUCACGCAAAACAGAGACAGUGGCUCUGUGCUCUGGGAACCCACUUAACCCUGUAGCAAGGAAAGCUUUCUUGGCCUCAUUUAUGAUUUGGUUUUAUUCCUUUGCCGAGGGACUGGCUAUGGGUGUUGCUGCUACGAGAGGAUACAGCCUCUACUUAGUAUUUCCUGUAAUGCUUCACGGAUUGCCAAGUGGAGUUGGUGUGGGUAGUAUCGUAUAUGGAGCUACAGGUAGCAAAAAGGUGUCGUUUUUAGCAGCUGUUCUCUCUUGUUUGGCCGGUCCUAUGGGAGGCAUCUGUGCAGCACUUACUGGAAUUGGUCCAAACGGGCUUGAAAGCUUGAUUGUGGUGGCAUGUGGUAGUCUUUACCCAAUUUUUACCGGCGUCCUUUUUCGGCGAGCGCUGAGUGUCGACCCAAAGAGCACUUAUUUCGGCGUUUUGAUGGGUAUAGUGUUCACCGUGAUAUCUUUGACAACCACACGGCUUGUAUGCCUAUAUACGCCUUACUGUGGCACUUCUCUUUAGCUGUAAAAAGAUUCAAAUUAUUAAUCUAUAUUUUAUUCUUAGGUUAUUCAGGAGCAACUUGUGACGAUUUCGCUCUCUAUGCUGCUUUUAGAUGCUUCCCGCAUGAUUACUAAGAUAGUCGUGUUUCAGGGACUUCGGUCAAAUUGUACCAUGAUUCUAGGAACUCUGCAAAAUUUUAUGAUCACCGUUUAACAUUAUCCUGAAAAAAUGACGGAUCUUUUGAAAAUUAAUGACUUAAGUGGAAAAUUGAUAUUUGAACCAAGACCUAGCAUCACAUUGAAGCACUUCACAUUUUGUGAUUCCAAUGUGUCUACGUGUAUUCUUCGCGGAAGUCUUUUGGGAAUUUAUCAACUUUUUUAUCUUAUUUUACAUGUAUCGUCACACCAUGUUACUUCUGAACAAUGUUAUCUGCGUCCAGAACGAGGUUUUAGGAAAUCGGAAUCAUCCGAUGUCGCUUAUUCUGAAAAUUGAAUCUCUGGCUGUAUUCUAUAAUCGCAAAAUAUGGAGACUAAUGGCACUGUGGUUUCAUAUGUGCACCUGUGGGUUGCGUGUAUUACCGCUGUCGACAACAGAAUCAGGAUCAUUGUAUGUCUUGUGAAUGUUUGCAGUAGAAUGCUAGAGUUUGAGGUGGUACCUUAAUCGGGCGAAGAAGCACAAUUUAGGCAGCAGCGAUGAGAAAGUAUAAGAGACGAGGGCAUCCGCAAGUACGUACAAGGAAUGGGUCGACGAAUAUUGACGUCGUUGCGGUUAUGGCAUUAGCGAUUUUUGCGGGUUCAGGGGACCACUAUGAAGCUGAAGUGGAAGUGGUAAGUAUUAUCAUUCCUCAAUCAGUAACUUAAAUGUUUGAAGAAUGUUAUUGUUAGCUUUUCAUGAAGUUGGGAUCUCCCUUAAUAUCUUGUGCAUCCAGCUACGUAACAUUUUGUGACAGUUACUUUCUGAGUUGGCUUUUGCAUCCUCCCAAGCGCGACAUAGCUGUGAUAUCCCAAUCAGGUCGCUGCGAGUGUUAGAGCCCAUGGCCCUUGCUUCAGUUAUCUUUGAUAUGUUCGUGCACUUCAAGAAUGUAAUGUUCUCCCUCUUCUGAUUUAUUCUCUGAUCCUUGUUUCUCUGAUGAAUGCGAAGGUGGCCUGGCCACAUGUAUCUAAACCAACUUGUAGAUAAAUCGGGGACAGUUUCGGAGCACGUGGAUUAUUCCACAGCUGCUGCGGCGGUUUUUACUAAUUUUCUUCCAUGAAUCGAGAUCAGGGAUAUUCAUCACUAGUUGAUGACUAGAUAUCAAUUGUAGUGGUAGAAACUAUGGUAGUUUAAUGGGACUAUUUGAUUUUGUAAUGUCAGUAAUGCUUCAUAUAGAGGCGAUUAAGGGUUGACAUUCGAAGCGAUGCAAGUGAAGGUAAAGACUUGAAUUAACUGGAAGGUCAGUGGUCAUGAAACAUUUUGCUGAAGAGCUUUGAAAUCAAAGCGGGUUUCCGUCAGAAUGAAAAUGUGGCCGACUACUGUCGCCAGAAUGUAACGGUUAGUGAAUCGGUAUUUUAAUGGUGUCGAAUGGAGUCAAAUGAUAUCUUUUUCGAGGCAUGGCUAUUUUGGAUUUUGAGGCUCUGAAGAAGACGUGCCACGGAGUCAGUUUUCUUGUGUUUGGUUAGAACCUUGAAUACAUAUAUUCCUGUAAGGUGCGUUAGAGUUUUGUUGCAAACUUCAGUAUACUGCUACAAAUUGCAUCGAAGAAGUUGUCAAGAAGGAACAUUGCAAGGAGGACAUGGGAACGCUUCCGAAUAGUGUGGUGGCUGCCUUACCAAAGGACCUUGACGCGCAAUUGGAAGUCGCGCAGCAGAUCACCCAAUUUGCUGUUUUUGGUCGUGUUAGAAAGCUCGAAGAAGAGGCUUUAAGUUUAAGAUCAAAGAUAUCCGAGAAAGAUGCGGUCAUUGGAAGUCUUCAGGCACGUGUUAUUGGAGCAGAGAACACUUUUACAGAAACUACGGCCAAACUGACUAAUGCUAUGGAGGCGCAGGUGUGCUCACAACAUUUCCUAACUCUAAUUUGCACCCACCCUCUUCUAUAUGUCGUCUGGUCCCCUAAAAAAAUUCGUUUGAAGUGAUACAUUUGGUUCCAGUCAAUUUCUCUAUUGGUAACUACUGUUAUAAUCGCUCUUAUAGGUCUUAUUUUUCUAUCAUGCGACAUACAUAAAGCUUCAAACUAAUUUGGAAUUUAAGAUUUUCACGCGACCAAUUGAUGUUUUGAAUUUUCUUUCUGUUGAGGUUUAUUCUUGAUGCAUUGGGUUGCAUGCAGGCAAAAUUGAUCGAAGACAAGGAUGUCCUCUCAGCUCAAGUAAUGAAGUUGAUGUGUCAAGUUUCGAAGGUAAGAGAAGCUGCUUUAGAGAAGGAAACUAUAGAAAUUAAGAUUGCGUUUGAUAUUCAGCUGUUGUAAAGAUGAUAAAUAGCAAAAGAGAACAUGCGAACUACAACAAAUUUUUAUAUAAUUAUGUGAUUUUGUGGUCUGGAGUUUUACCCCACGAUGGCUGUUUUGGUUCUAAUCGUUGGUUUCUAACUGGGCACUUUCGUCCAAAGACCUUACCGUAAUCGGCUAAAAGUAGUCUCAUAUAAUGAGGAAUCUUCUGGUUUCACUGAUAUUAAUAUUUUCUCCGUUGGAUUUGUUUCUCAGUUGGACGAGUUCAGGAAGGCGUUGACGAAAUCACUUGAGUCAAGCACAGAAUGUGGUGACCCGGCAAGAGUCAUUACCCAGUUUCUCAUACGAUGUCAGGCCUGAGCUUGCGCAGUCUCUCUCUCAAAGUCUCAAAAUGACUGCAUCGACCUUCAUAGCAUACUCAGUUAUUCCUAUUUCUGCUACUGUAGUAUUACAACCUCACAGUAAGAUGUAUUCCAUGUGCAUGCAAGGGCAUUAACCAUCAGUAUGCUCUGUGUACACACUCCGGUCCAAAGUUUGUAUCUGGGACACGAAUAUUAAACUUGCAGUAUUGGUGAGGCUUUAUUGAAGUCAACAAAGGUGAUAUCUUGAUAAAUGUGCUUGCUGACUCCAGGUUGAAGAAAAGAAAAGACCUUGUCCACCAGAAUCAUCUGGUGAAGUGCUAAAGACCACACCCAUUUCGUCGGGAAGGAAAAGUAAGACUUCUACCUCAGCUGAUUGAUCAGCAUGUUUCGCGUUCACGUAAGCAAGAACACUUCGACUUCUUUUUUACUGAAGCGCACGCUCCUCGUUUAGAAUCAAUCACAUAUCAAAUUCUACUUUCCAGUAUAUUAGAAGUCAGAAUUUCCUGUUGAAUAGUUCAUCAAGCCCGUGAAUUGAAGCAUUGUUCAACACAACGGCAUCGUUUACUCAAAGUAUGGUGCUAUAAGCUCUGCACCAGACGAGCUUUCAUAACCGGAAAUGCUCUUAGUAUGUAAAUCGUAUAUAUUUUCGAAAUACAGCCACAUGAUGUUGCCUUCGCAGUAUAGGAAACACACUCCUCCUAGAUGAGAAGGUAUCCUUACGCACUUGACCUCAAGGUGUCAGUAUGAUCUUCAGGGUAUCGCUUUUUUGAACAUCUGGAAACUCGGAAUAAUGGUUGCAACUCCAUGUUGACUCUUUUUUAUCUCUUUAGUUCUCGGAGGUGAUAUCUGCUCAUGACGCAUGUUCAAGAUCCAGGUGCAAUUCAAUAACACUAUUUUGAACUUUGAGUCAACAGUGAAUUCUAACAGUGAUAGUGAUCACUCAUUUGUAGAUGCUGGAGCAUUUUCAUGCAAGAAGAUAAUAUGCCCCGAGUGUCCUGAAGCUUCUCCCUCAUCAAUUCCCGUUGAAGUAGCUGUGGGUCCUGACGAGGGUCCGGCAGAAAGUAUGGUCAUACUCCACUACCAUCAUCGAAAUUCAUUUAAUUCACGCAUAGAAGUAUUUUUCGUGUCAAGAAAUCCUGCAUUAUUUGUGUAGUGCUACACCUCAACCUCUGCUGUUUCACUUCUAAAAAUGCGUGUGCAUAACAGUGAAACGAAGUAAUACAUCUGUAAAUGUAUCGUAUUGUCAUUUUUUUUUUCAUUUACAGGCAGAUAUAAUCAGUUUGUAUAUUCAAAAGUAAUUGAUCCUCUGGUCGCUCGUGCACCAUCAGACAGUUCAUGUCUUUCAGGUAGAGGAUUGGAAAAUUACAUUUUUCUGUGGAUCUUGUUGGCUUUUUGGAAUCACUAAAAAAAAUUUGCUUAUUUGACAAACCAAGUUUAUACCUACCAACAAAACCCAUUUAAUGAAAUGAACUUGAUGUUUUGAUACAGCAAAAUCGCCAAAGUUUGAUGGCAAAGAGUUUUUUCGACUAGUCAGGUGCGGAACCACUCCUACCAAUAAUAGAACCUUGUCAAUUGCUAACACUCCCUUCAUUCAUUGAUGGGAGUGUAUAAGACCUUAUUAUAUUUUAUUUGUUGUAAAGUAAUAUGUUUUGAUUUUUUUUAUAUCAACUUUUAAUGGAAUGAUGCAAUUUAUCGGAUUAGAGCUUGGAAAAUUGCCUUUUUAUUUUUAAAAAAUUGAUAUAAUUAAAUUUAUAAACUUUAGGAACCGGUUGUCACAUGAGCAAUUUAAUGAGUUCUUGAUACAAAUUAAAGAAUUAAAUGCACAUCACCAAUCAAGAGAGGUGAAAUUACUUUGUGCUUUUUGAAGUUUUAGUAUUGGUGUAUGUUUUUUUUAAUUGAUAAAUAUAAUAAUUUAUGACCUCUCUUUAAAAAACUCUUAAAUAUUUGACAUUUUUAUCUUAAAUUCGUUAUCUUGAAGCAAGAUUGAGUAUAAUUUUUAAAGAAUAUAAUGCAGGAGACAAUAAAGAAGUCUAAUGAAUUAUUUGAUCCAAAUAACUUUGAUCUUAGUGAAAAAUUUGCACAACUUCUUUCUCAAUAUAUUACUCCUCUUCUACUAUCAUCUAAACUAUCAUCAAAUCUCUUUUAAACUUAAGAUGGUCUCUUAAAAAUUUAGAAUCCAUAUUUAUAAUAAAAAAUAAAUCUAUUAAUAAUAAUAUAUAUUAUAGAAAAAAAUAUAAAAAUAAUCAAACUUACAUGAUAUUGUGCUUAAUUAAAUUAACUAUGUAACAUUUUUAAGAAUUAAAUUGUUAAAAUAAAAUAUUAUAACCUUCUUGAAAUUUGUUAUGUUGUUGCAUUGCAUUGAAUAGAUGUUCUUGGCAGGAUUAGAAAUUUUUUCUUGGUAGAUUUCAUCCAAAGAAUUCAAAUUGCAAUAACCAUGUACCACCACAUUGCAAGGAUUAAGUUUUAAAAAUUACAUAAUUGUAAUUUAUGUUUUAAUUUUACUUUUAUUUUAUAUUGUAAUUUUGCAAAAUUAUUAAAAUAUAUAUAUAUAUAUAUAUAUAUAUAUUAAAGUUUCUCUUAUUACAAAGGAUUUAAAUACAUUCUUCAUAUUAUUAAUUUUUUAAUUAUUUGAUUAUUUAUAAUAUGUAAUGAAUAAAAAAUAUAUUUACUAAAUAUGUAUAUUAAUUUUUUAUUUUGGUAAUAAUUCCACUUUAUUAAAUAAUAAAAAAUAAAAAUGAAUGAAUGUUUUAUCUUAAAUGUAAAAUUUAGAAGAUAAGUAUUUAAUAAAAUAUUAUUUUUAUCCAAAACAAAAUCUAAUUGGUAAAUUUUUUAUUCAUAUUUAGGUACAAGCUUAAGUAUGUGAUUAUUCAAUGGUGAAAGCUUUGAGAGAUAUACCUCAAAAAUUCUAGUAUAUACAGUUAAUGAAUUAUUUUGUAUUUAAUUAUAAUAAUGCGUAAAGCACAUGUCUUUACAAAAACCACAAUUAAUUAAGGAGCUAGAUGCAUCCAUGCAUUUACUCAAUAUCUAUAAGUUGAGGUGACACCGUGCUGAAAUAUUCAAUCAAACCAAAUUGUGAAUCCAACAUGAGUGUUGCCUUUUGAGAUCUUGGAAGAGAUUACAACUAAAUAAUGGGUUGAAUAUUGUGCAUUGUGUCAUGGUAUUGAAGGCAAUAGUACUGCUGAAGAGGCCCAUGUACUUCCCAAGUCAGUUUUUUUUUCUUCUUCGUUUUAAUAUAUUUCCAUUAAUAACUUCUCAAGCCAGUUUUAAUAUCCUAAAUUUUUGAAGAGGACUGGAUUUAUUACCAGGUUUAUUGCACAUGUUACAUAUUCAUUUGUGAUGAAUGUGUAACAUAUUAACAUUUAUUGCACAUGCUAACAUAAGAUUAAAGUACAACUUUUCCAACUACGUUAACAUUGUUCAACUUCACAAAUGGCAGAAUUAUAUACUCACUGUGAAAGCCUGCCAAGUGCUUGUCUCUAGAUUGAUUGAAAUGAGAUCUUGCCUUUCAGUUUGUAUGGAUGUUCACUUGCCUGGUUAAUGCUUGCUCUUGUUCUUUCUUUCUCUUUCUCCAUUUCAUAGCAUUUGUCAAGCUCGGGUCAAGCACUCUUCAGCCUGAUGACCAAGUAGUCUAGCUACACAUCUAAAAUUCAGGAUUUUAGGGCUACAAUAAAUACCAACCAAUAUGUACAUUGUUAAACCAGGGUGCGAACAUCAUCCAGUUUAUAUUGAAAUCUUUUACUGUAUAAAUUUCAUGAGCAAACAUGACACCCUCUUUUCAGAUCGGUUUGAUUUGCCAUAUCUAAAGCUUUGCUUAAUCUAAUAUCAAAUAAUAGUGCUUGGUCUCCAAUAUUUGCAAUUUUAGGAUGACAUGCGGAAAGAGUACAUGAGUUGGAGGUGAAAUGUGAAGUAUAGAGGUUUUAUGUGGACGUUUUGUCACCAAACUACAGUCUAAAUUGAUUCCCAUGUGUGGCAUUAAGGAUACUGUUAGUAUUGCAAUGCAAACUACCUUCAAGUGGGCUACUUGGUAGUAAGUACCAGUUCACAAUAAUACAAGCACCAACUCUAUCAUCAGUGUAGACUGUUCACAGUUCCAUUGUCAAAGACAGGAGGAAACGAGCUGCAACGAAGCAAACUUUAUAUACAUACACAGAUUCCACACGCAAGUAUGGUUGACCAACUGCUGAUCAUGUAGAUUCAUUGAGCAGGCAUAUCCUUCACAACCUGAUCUGUGAGAAUGAAUGUGGGCAUUGAAGUUACUUAUUGCCAAGUUUGAAGAGAAGUAGGUUGUAGGAGUUACGGUUGGCAGGAUGAUGGAGAGAGACCUUCCUGGGGCGUCCAAGUUUUGAGGUGCUGCAAUGCAGGCUGUCAUUUGCUAUCAAAAGCGGUACUUGCGGAAAUCAGCAGGAUGUACGCAGAAAAUAAAUGAAGAUGUAGGAACUUUCUACUCUUGAGAUGAGUUUUUAUUGCAGUGUGUUGUACCACCGACGUGAGAGAUUAUGUCGUACGUGAUUUUGCAUACAAUAAAGAGAAUUGCAGCACUCAGUUGAAGGCGAAAGGCAAGUUCAACUCAAGAGAAUUACUUAUCCGGAUGUUGUUAGCAAUGUAACGUUAGCUAAACCCUUUUCUGAAUUUGGAGCAUGUUUAACUAAAAUGACCUCAUUCAAAAAUAUAUCGUAGUUGCAAUUACACACAAGUCAGUGAUUGCUGCGAACACACAAAUACUGCAAAUGCAGUGAAGUUGUGAUGUACCAGUGAUGUUAAAGCGAUGAAUUUCCACCGAGUGUGCUCCUUCAGAAUUUUUGAGAUUUAGGUACAGCUAUUGUACAUUACGUUUACGGUAUCUAUAUAUGACUUGUUUUGCAGAACAUAGGUGCUCUUCAAUUGGUGAAGGGUUGUGAACUGAGGUGGCCCACCUCAGUUCACAACCCUUCAAGGAGCUUUACAUUCAAUAAGCACAGCAAGAACAGAAGUUGAAAUUCACGGGUUGGUAAAGCAUGGCCUGCUAAAGCGAUUUUCAAUUCGUCGCUCUACCAUGAAUCAGAAUCUCAAAGUUUUUUCCAAUCAUGCAGUAUUUCCAAAUUGGUAAAUUACAUCUGGAUCAUACGUGAUCGUGAAAUAAGUUUAUUUGAGAAACUUGUAGAAGCAGAGUUCAACGCAGUCUUCGUGACGUCUCUUGUGGCUGUGGAGUAUUCAAACCAAAGCAACACAUCCGACUUAGUAGCGUUUGGUUAUGCCCAAAAUAGUGACCAUGCUUGUCUUUCCAUCACAAUCUAUUAUUUACAUGACUCUAAAUAAAACUCACAAAGGCUCUAAAUGUUCAGAAAAAGUGCAGCCACAGCCGUGAAUUUGUUCCAAGUGAAAUGGUUCAAAAGCUAUUCAGAUUGCCUCAAAAAACAUAUGUACAUCGCUGGAGAGAGCUGUGGUUGUAUUGCCGCACCCCACACUCGCGAAGUCUGUUAACUUUUUAUUUUUUGAAACGCCAAGGCAGUGUCUUAAAUCCAUACAUCCAUGCAGUUACCAAAAUUUCUGGCAUUUUGCUUGUAUCUCAUUACUGAAAUCCUUGAUUUUUAGGACAAUAUGUUUCAAAACGGUACAGCAAAUAGUACAACAUAACAACCCUGAACUUCAUGUUCUGAAUCUUAAAAGCCUUUUAAGUACGUCCACCAUCCUUGCAACUAAUCAAUUUCAUGUGCACAUUGAAGUAUACUGGAUCGACUUCAACAACUUUGAGAUGAUAGUUUCUUGAUUACACUGACUCCAACAACGAAUCAUAUACUUCAGGUAAGGAAGACCUGGACAGAUGCAAUAUUGGACAACAGGGUCUCUACUGAUUGCUCCUACACGCAUUUCUUUCAUCUCAGACGAAAAUUACCAAGGUAUUCUAGAGAACUGUGCAUAUGCUUACGGAUUUCUAACGUAACUACCUUGUGUAACGAAGCAACGCAGGCGCUGUACACUGGACCUGGUCGGGUUGAAUAUCAACAACAUUUACGACCUUUCCUGCAACCCCUCUCGUAACGUCUUCAGCUGAGUAUAUCAACUAAGUGAUCUCAAAUUCAAAGCUAGUUUGGCAUGAAUUCGUACCUGUGACACUACAUAUCCAAGAGGUUUAUAUUUAAGAGCAAAUUAAGAUCAGGGUCGAUCAUUGAAUCAUGUUGUAAAACUGAUUAUAGAAACUGUUGUGAAUGUCAUGUAAAUUGAAAUAAUCCAGCUAGCCUGCAACGGCCGCAACUACUAUGCCUGUUCCAAGUCACAUUGCAUUCCACCACUGCUGAUGACAAAACAGCUCUUCAUGUUUCCACAGACAUCGAAUGAACUGAGAAUUUUAGUUUCUAUGCAUAGUUCCGAUUGCGGCAACAGAGAGCUCAAUGACUACGAAGUAUCAGAAAAACAUGCCUCAAUCCUGCCAGUAUAAUGGAAGCUUUGCCAGACUAGAUUGCGACUUUUGGUAUACAUCUGUUCAGUCACGUCACAUCAUCUACUUAUAAGUUGAAUGUCCUCUCCUGGUACAAAGUAGCAUGACCAGUGUAGGAGACGAAAGCGCAAAAAGGUAGACGUCAAUUCGGUGAUGGUGUGGGGCCAUGAACCGGGGACUUCGACGGAAGAGAGAGUACCAGCAGGCGUGGAUAAGUUAGUUGGGGAUAACGGUGAAGAAGCCCUGGUACUCUUAAGUUCACGGUGGUCCCGGAGAAAAUAUCAGCGGAGGAGGACAGGUACGCCACACGUCCUUCUCCAGACAUGAAUGCAAAUCAUGCAAUUCCUGUGAGACUCACAAGAUCAGGGGAAAUCAAACGCCUUUGCAGAUCCUCUCAACAAUUUUGCGCCUCAGGUCAGUGGCUGUUGCCAUGUAGGUUCAGACCAUGCGCAAACAUAUGAGAUGAACGUCACCUUUCCAACGAUUGAAGCAGCAGGGCAUCAAGCACCGUCAGCCUACCAAUCACAGCUAUGUCACGAGGAAACUCACGCAACUCUGUCCGCCCCGCAAGACCUUCGUCAUAUACAUAUGAUAGUUUCAACACGAAUCUGCAAGUGAAGCCUCGAACAAGUUGAACUAAAACCUGAGGAGGAUAAUCUAUUAGUCCUUAAGUUGCCGACAUGUGAGUCUAAUGCUCUAGUCGAUCAUCACCUCUGAAUCCACUUUCGACAAUUAUUCAGAUCGGUACAAAGCCUGCACUGGGCAAAGAUCGUAUACUGCUCAUCACCUUCGGAAUAAGUUGACCCACAGUUCAACUCAGUGCAUGGACCCAUCAUGUGGCAAGACUGCAACAACGGCGUAGGGUCAAUGAACUUGUUACUGAUUUCUCUAGCUGCAGCUCACACACGCCAGCUCGAAACAGUCUGAAUAAAUACCGGAGUAUUCAAACAGCAUUUUGCCACAAAUAUAUCAUACCUUAAAAAGUUUCCAGUGUGCGAGGUUUCCUCGCGGCGGUGCAUCAGCCUCUAGGUUUUCUCGAUGCAGUCUGAUCGAAGCAAGUAUGCAGUAGCAAAAAGAAACACCGGAGCCAGUGAUGCAGCUCCUACUGCAGCAUUCCCAAGCUCAUGGUUCUGAAUGGGAAUGAACACAAGCCAAGGAAUCAGGUGCUCGGUCCUGCUCCUAUUUUCUCAAGGACUAGCCUCCCAGUCAGAUUGAGCUACAUUACAACAUUAUAACACAACUGGGGAUGAACAAUGUGAAAAGCAUGCUCGCUUGAAAGCAUAAUGUUGAAUUGUGAAUUUUUCAUCAUUCUGCAUUUUUGUUCGGAGUAGGAAGACGUUUACCAUGUGCUUUUGAUCUCUCAAUACUUCAAGUUUAAAUUUUCUUAAAUAGGUUGGAUUUUUUUACACAAUGCAUACUUUAUUUUUUAUGAUCGGCAUUUAUAAUAACAAGAAAUAGAUACAUAGGGUCUUAAAUUCAAUUUUUGGUUUUUAGUAAGAUCGUCUUAUAACUCCCACCCAACAACAAUGUUGAGAAAAACACAAAAAAAUAAAUAAAUAAAAUAAAGGAUCCAAUGAGAGAGAAUGAAGAGUGUGGCUGGUUCAGUUGGUGGGGUUCACCCGUUCACACUGGCAUCGACUCAAUGGGACACGUCAUCAGAAAAUGAGUGCUGACGUGGAGGGGGCUCGAUGAUCGUGUCCGACGAGGCAAGAGUUGUCGGCCAGUUUCCAACAGCCCCUUCGAGUGUCUCCCAUGUGCUCACGUGGCCCUACCCUGCCAGGCUGUCGCACAAUCCCCAUUCAUCCAACCACCACGAAUGCCACGAAUGCCACGCACACACCCCAGCCCCCCAUCUUCGGGAACUCUAUCGGGAACGCUCGUUCUCUGUGUAGGGAACGGACUGACUCUGCACCUGGUAUUGUAUUGUAGCCCCCCAUCAUCCCAAGCUCCUGUUCCCACAUCCAGGGCUGCGUGCUUGCUGAGCUUCCAAUGUUGCCUUGAAAUUAAGUUGCUUUUAACAAAAUACUGUAUUACUUAGAGGUAAUAUGGUGGUUGUGGUUUUUAAAUUAAGAAUAUGUAAAUCACAGUUUUACACGAAACUCACACAAUAACUCUCAUGAUUAGACAUGUAAAAACAAUUCCCUAGCUUCUCUAAAAAGGUUUCUAAUGUGUACAUCAUGACAAAGUUCUUAUUGGUGAAACCAAAGAUAGCAUUUAGAAUUUAUUAGAAUAGAAUAUAAGAUUAACAUAACAGAAAACUUCUCAAUUUGAAAAAUCUACCACAAUUAAAAGCCUUGUGUUAUUUUUUAACAACUCUAUUGGUUUUAUUUUUUAUUUUUUCAAUCUUAUGACAAUUCUUGCUUGCGUUUUCAGUUUUCUUUUGUUAUUGAUCAUGUUAGUAUUUGAAAAUGUAGAAUUUUCGGAUUUAGAUAUAAACUAUGGAGCCCCAACUUCAUGUUCUUUUGUUAUAGCAUGUCGUCUAACUCCACAUAUCUAUUUGGGUUUGUAUCAAUUUUCUUCUGAAUUUCUGUAUUAGAACCAAAGUGUGUUAUUAUUAUUUCUGAGUUUUUUUUAAAAAAAAUUAAAGUCUUUAAUGGUCUUGUAUGCAACCUAAAUUAAUUUUUUAUUUUUUAUAGUAAUAUUUAAUUUCUGAGUAAAUAUUUGUAUUAUUCUAGGAUUUGCUGUGUAAAAUAUUUAUUUCUUCUAUCUAGUCUCUGAAUUUAUGAUUUAUUUUCUAUUGAUACUAAAUCUUUAAAUUCAUUGACUCAACAUCUUGGUAACAAUUAAUUUUGAAUGAAAAGUAACAAGAAGGUACAUUUGGUAGUAUCAUUCACUCCUUUUGAGUUGAUAUAUGCAAUGGACUUUAUUUAGUUGGUGCACAAUUGGGUAAUUGUUAUAUGUUAAUAAAGUUUAAUUUUACUUGGAAAAAAUAUAGAAGCCACUUUCUUUCUUUUAAAUAAAAUUAAAAAUUAUUUUAUUCUAAUCUUACAAGCUCUUAUAUGUUAGAUAAAUUAAAAGAAUUAAAAGUGAAAUUGUUGUUUUUAAAUCAAAUUGAAAUUUACUAUUGGGAAAUUCGGACUUUUCCAUUGUUGAGUUUUAUUUUUUAACAUGAAACAUAAAUAGUUCUUAUAAUACUUAUUAUUAAUACAUGCACAAUUUAAUUUUUCUACAUUGUAAUACACAAUAUCUUUGUCUAAAAUUGUUUGACUAAAAUCAUAUAUAAUUUUAUAUUAUAUUAGCAAAAAUAUUUUUGUUUGAUCUAUUUAUAGGGAGUUGUUAAAACUACACCCCCCUCCAAACCAUGUGAUGAUUAAUUUUGGGAGACAUGGAACAAGGGAUGGGGAUAGAGAACGUGGAACAAGGAUUGAAACACAGGGGAUGGAUGACAUGGAACAAAGGAUGGAGAUGGGUGAUGGAUGGAAUCAAUCAUGAGAUGGUAAUGUGAUUUUAACAACUCUCUAUUUAUAUAUGGAUAUUUUAAUUUUUUUAAAUGCAUCAUUUUAAAGAUAGAUACCAAGGAGUGAGUCGGUAGGUAUGAGAGCAGGUGACGGGGAUGGAGAAGCAAAAGAAACAGAGUGUGCCGAGCAAGAUUGAGCAUGUGUUGAGGGGGUUUGGGUUGGGUUUAGGGUUGGGUUUAGGUCUGGGUGUUGCCCUGGCAGGGCUACUGCUGACAAGUGAGUGAAGAAGGGAGAGAGGGAGGGGGAGAGAGAGGCCACUCACUCACUCAGUGGGGCUGGCUGGCCUGGCUGCCCCCAGACAGACGCGGUGGUGGUACCAGAACAUGGGGGCCGUGCUCUGCUCUGCUCUGAUCUGCUCUGGCAGGGAGGGAGGGCUUCUCCCCACCUCCCUUCCCUUCCCUCAGACGAGGGCUGCUUUCCAUCAACAUGAUGCGAGUGGGGUGGCGUGGAGCGGGCAGCGUGGGUCAGCGAGCGAUUCGCCUUGUCGCUCGCGAAAGUUACUACCUGGACGUUUGGCCGUGCGACAGCCUCGGUUGCUUAUAAUGAGGUCACAGUGCUGGGCUAAGCCAUGUCAGUCAGUCAGUCUCUCGCCGAGUCACUCACUCUCACUCACUCACUCAUGAUCCUGACAAAUUCGGGGGGAGGGAGGGAGGGAGGUGGUUCAGAUGAUGUUGCUUGCUGGUGGCACCGCCGUGGAGCUACUGCUACUACUACUACUCCUCCUGCUGCGGCCUCAAUGAUCCACCCAGAUUGAGCAGCGAGGGAGGGAGGGAGGGAGGGAGAGAGAGGGGGAGGGCAUAUCAUUCAUGCAGCAUUACAUUAGUACUCCGGGCUGCCACACUGGAGAGCGUCAAUACUACGCUGGGCAGGGCAGGGCAGGGCACCCAGACUCACUCACUCACUCACCCCCUCCCUCACAGACAGACAAAGAGAGACCGGGGAGCGACUUGCGGCUGCGGCAGCGGCGGGGGGCUGUCGUCAGCUGGGUAUGACAUGUCAGCAAUGAGAAUACCCUGUUCACACGCAAGUUUCUCGAGACAAGUGCGUUACGACGUAAACCACAUCAGCGAUGGGAGCGUGUGUUCCCUCCCUCCCACUCCUGGUUUGCUGAGACUAGUAAGUGAGGGGUAAGUCAUGACUUGGAUGAAUGUAAAACCGUCAAGGAUGAGAAAUUUUGGUAGAAUCCUACGUGGCAAGUUUGCAUGACUGUUCUCCUUGAUUUUAAGGACCCUUUUCUGUAGUGUAGUGCAUUUUGAAAUUGAUAUUUAGCAUGUGCAAUAAAUUAAGUCAUGCAUGUGUUGUGCUCUCAUGUAUAUAUAUAUAUAUAUAUAUAUAUAUUUAUUUAUAUUUAUAGAAGAAUUUAAAGAAAAAUUAAAGAGUUUUGAAUAGUUUUUUAUUCAAUAUAAACUUUACAAACAUUUGACAUAAUGAACUAUUGACACCUUUUAGAACCUGCUACUAUAUUCUAAAAACUUGUUUAUAACUUCAUGAAUAGUCUUUUAAUGGCUUCUAUAGUUGUCAAAAAUAUACAUGGUUGUCUAAAAGUUUGUAAAGGAAGUUUUAUGAACUUUUGGAACCUUCUAAAUACUUCCACAGAUUUCUGAAGAAGAAUAUGUAAGACUAAAUUCUUAAAGUGUAAAUAAAAAAUAAAAUUGAGAUGCACCUUAGUUUUUCUUAUAUAAUUUGUAGGAAAAUAUAUAAUAUUUAUUUAAUUUAAAUUUAAUAAAUUUUAUUUUGAAUCAAGCUAUAUUAUAGUAAUCUUUAAUAUUUGAUAAUUUUGAAUACAUAUUAAAAGAGAAAAUUAUAUAAUUUAAAAAAAAAAUCCAUUAUAUAUUAAAGUUAGAAAAAUUAUAUCUUUAAAUUGAUAUUAAUAUUUUAGCUUAGAAUUAUUUUUAAAGAUUAAUAUUAUUUGAAAAACAAAAAUUCAAAAAUAUUCAAUUCUUAUAAGAUAUAAAUUUCUAAAUUAUUUUACUAUUUAUUUGAUUAAAUAGUAUCAUAUUUGUAUAAAAAGCUAAUGAAGUUAUUGAGGACUUAAAUAAAAGAAUAAUAAAAAUUUCAAAAAAUACCAUAUCUAUAUGAAAUUUCAAACAAUAAUUUAUUUCAUUCAUCAAUGCAAAAAAUUAUGGUAAAAUAAUAAACAAAUAUUAGGUCUUUUAGAAAUUAAUAAUAAAUUUUAAAACAUACUAUAAGCAAAUCCAUCACUAAAAAUAUAAAGGAUUGGUAGAAAAAAAAUUUAAAAAUUUCUAAAAAUAUGAAACCACCAACAAAAAAGAAUCAAAUGGUAAUAUACAUGUAAAAUUUGAUGAAAUAGAAUUAAAUGUUUUAGCUUUUUAUAACAAAUUAAAUAAUGUUGGAACUCACAUAUUUCUUUAAUAACAAUAUGUUUACGGUAUUAUUUUAAAUUUUUUUAUUAUUAAUCUUUUAUAUGAUUUUUUCUUUCUUUUUACUUUUAAUUUUUUAAAUAUUCAUGAAAUUAAAUUAAAUAUAUAAAAAUAAUUUUAACUAAAAUUUUAAAUAUUAUUUGAAAAAAAUCAUUGAAACCAAAAAUAAUAAAUAUCAAUUUAAAUAUUAAAUUUAUCUAUUACUAAUAAUAUUGAAUUCUAAGACUGUCACGGCCAUAAUCAUGUAAGCUAAUAAUUACAUAUAGAAAUAGGUAGAAGUAAGUAAAAGUAGAUAAAAGUAAGCUAAUUCUAUAAUAUUUAAUAUAGAAGCUUCCUAGAAACUUCCUAGACGCUGCUUUGACUUCAUAGGUGUCUUUAAUUGACUUUUUGGAUUAGAAACGUGGUCAACAAGUUGGCCAUGUACCACACAUGUUGUUAGCUUGAAGAUCAAGCUAACUAUGUGGCCCACUCGUAGAAAAACUUGCCUUGUAAGUCAAGGCAUGUGUCCCACAAAGUCAACACAUAUUGGAGGUCCUAUAGAACGUCGCCACGUAGCCCCUAGUUAGAUAGUAUAUAUAGAGACAAGAGUGAAGGCUUCUUCACUCUUCUCAACUCUUUUCUUGCUUCUAGUCCAGGUUCAAGAGUCUUUAGUUUCUUGUCUUGUGGCAAUAGCCAUUCCAGUUUCCGUUUAAUAUAUCUACUUGUUUAUAUUUUGACUUAUUAUAUCGAGAUAGCCUUUUUGUAUAUUUUCCCUCAUUGAGUCUUUGUCCUUGACAGAUUGACAAGAGUACACUUACAAUAUCAGAGCUUUGUUUUUCUUGAGUGAGAGUGGAUUACCCCUUUCUCUUGACAAGACAUAAGCGUAUUAGAAGUUUGCAGAUUACCCACUUCUAAACUGAUAUUGUUCUUAGUAUCGUCUUUGUUAUCAAGUUUUUCUUUUCUUUUCGCUUGAGCAGUAUCAAACAAAUUUUUCUUUUUAGUGUCAUUAUGGCAGAGCUUGUUGAAAUGAAGAGUGCAAUGGCACAAAUGUAAGAGCAAAUGAGGGAAUUAAUGCUUGCGAUGCAUCAACUCAAUUCACCAACACAGGAAAGAACAAGAAUAGCAGAAAGUGGGGAUAUAGAGAUGAUCGGAGCUGCUUCAAUAUCUGCAACAAAUCACGUUCCUUCUCCAAUUAUACAACACCCUGUAAGCACUAGAGAACCAAGAAUUACCUUACCCGAGAAAUUUGAUGGUACGAGAUCUAAGUUUCGAGGAUUCAUCAAUCAAGUACAAUUGGCAAUUGAACUUCAACUGCAAAGCUAUCCAACUCCAGGAUCACAAGUCAGGUUUAUUGCCACUCUACUUUCUGGUUCUGCAUUAUCAUAGUUUUCGUCUUUUCUUGAACAACGAAAUCCAAUAUUGGAUAAUUUCGAAGCUUUUUUGGCGGAGUUUCGAUCUAUGUAUGGUGAACACGAUGUAACUCGUGUUGCAACAAAUAAGAUCCGAAUUCUGCGACAAGAAAAUCGCUUAGUAACAGUAUAUGCGUUCAUAAUUUUGACAACUUGCAAUUGACAUCAAGUGGGAUGAUGCUGCACUCAUUAGUCAAUUUCUUUAUGGAUUGCAAUACGAAGUAAAGAAAUUGAUGCUCAACUUACCUGAUCCUCAAACUUUGAGUCAAGCAAUCGAUUUCGCGAUAAAAUGUGAUAAUCGACUUUUCGAAUUUCGAUAUGAGAAUCAUUCACGAGAACCUCAACGUUAUUACUCAAUGGCAACAUCAACAUCUUUGCCAAACGUACAUUCGGAAGUAGAAGACAUGCAAAUUGACGCGGUACGUUUUAAAUCCCUAACUGAGCAAGAAAAGAUUCGUCGUCGUCAAGAAGGAUUAUGUUUAUAUUACGGAGAAUCUAAGCACACUGCUCAACAUUGUCCUAAGAAACGACGCAACUAUAAAAUGUGGGGUACGACGGUCAAAGAAGACAACAUGUCAGAAAACGGAUUCGUCCAGCUACAAUAGGGACCGUGUAGCUCGAACCUUGUACAAUUUCUAAUGAAGGUCCUAUCCUCUCCUCAGAACCCUCUCCUUGUUUUAUAAUAGACUUAUAUUUAGGACCUAAGAAUUACAAAGCCUCUGCUUUAUUAGAUUCGGGAGCCUCAGCAUGUUUUUUAGAUGAACAAUUUGUUAAAAGUCGUAAAAUACCCUUUGUACAGAAACCUAAACCAGUACAUGUAGAAGUCAUAGAUGGUCGUCCCUUGUCUUCUGGAGAUGUCACUCAUGAAACUCAUCCUAUAAAAGUAACAAUAGACGGUCAUGAUAGCUACAUAGCUUUUAACAUAAUUAAAUCCCCGUCCAAUCCAGUUAUUUUAGGUUUAUCCUGGCUAGAAAAAUAUAACCCUCGAAUAGAUUGGAAUUCGCGUAAACUUGACUUUUCUCAAAGCCUUAUUAAUAGUUCUACUAACCAAGUAAAAAAUUAUAAUUCUAGUAUAGUAAAACCCGUACUGAUAGGUACAAAAGCAUUUAUACACGCAGCAAAAGAAGGAUCAACUUUUACUAUUUAUGCUGCACCUAUUUCUCAAAACGUAAAGACUUCAAGUGGCAUUCCAAGUCAAUAUCAGGAGUAUCAAGACGUUUUUGAAAAAAAGAAUGCAGAUAUUCUUCCUGAGCAUCGCACAUAUGAUUGUUCAAUUGACCUCAAGGAAGGAACUCAGCCACCAUUUGGACCAAUUUACAGUUUAUCGCAAGAUGAGAUGGCUGAACUCAAGACAUAUAUUGACGAGAAUUUAGCGAAGAAUUUCAUGCGCCAUUCAAAACCUCCAGCAGGAGCUCCAAUUCUAUUCGUAAAGAAAAAAGAUGGAUCUUUACGAAUGUGUGUUGAUUAUCGAGGACUCAACAAGAUCACAAUCAAGAACAGGUAUCCAUUACCUUUGAUAUCAGGACUCCUUGACCAAUUGAAUCAAGCUAAGAUCUAUACAAAAAUAGAUCUAAGAGGAGCAUAUAAUCUAGUACGGAUCAAAGAAGGAGAUGAAUGGAAGACUGCGUUUCGAACCAAGUAUGGACAUUUCGAAUAUAAUGUCAUGCCCUUUGGACUCACGAAUGCACCAACUGCUUUUCAACAUCUCAUGAAUGAGGUAUUUCGUGAAUUCUUAGACAAUUUUGUCGUCUGCUAUCUAGACGAUAUCCUGAUCUAUUCUAAGAACGUCGAAGAACAUGAAAUACAUGUUCGUCAAGUAUUACAAAAACUUAGAGAUGCAGGAUUGUAUGCCAAGAUGGAAAAGUGUGUAUUUCACACUACUCAAGUUGACUUUUUAGGAUACAUCAUUUCAAAUAAUGGUCUCAUGAUGGAUUCUAAGAAAGUCCAAACAAUCAUAGAUUGGAAGAUUCCAAGGACGGUAAGAGAUGUCCAAUGUUUCUUGGGAUUUGCCAAUUACUAUCGGAUCUUCAUCAAAGAUUUCUCACGAGUUGCAGCUCCACUUACGCGCUUGACUAGUAAAGAUAAAUUUCAAUGGAAUCAAGAAGCGGAACCAGCAUUUGAAGCCUUCAAGACAUCGUUUGUCUCUGCACUAGUCUUAUAUCGUGUUGACUUUUCCAAGGCAUUUUUUAUGGAAACAGAUGCAUCAGAUUUUGCCUUGGGUGCAGUUUUAUCACAAAUGGGACCAGAUGACAAACUUCAUCCGAUAGCUUUUCAUUCAAGAAAAUUCUCAGCAGCCGAGAUCAAUUAUGAGAUCCACGAAAAAGAACUACUUGCAAUCGUGGAUUCCUUUCAAGAAUGGCGUCAUUAUCUAGAAGGCGCUUCUAGUCCAGUCACUGUGUAUACAGAUCACAAGAACCUCGAGUAUUUCAUGUCAGCACGCGUGUUGAAUCGUCGUCAAGCUCGUUGGAAUAUGUCUUUGUCAAGAUUCGAGUUCAUUAUCACUUAUCGGCCAGAAAAACAAUAAGGUUUAUCCGAUGCCCUGUCUAGACGUUCUUAUUUUGCACCAAAAGAAGGAGAUGUAGCUUUUGAGCAACAAAGAAUGGUCCUCUUGAAACCGGAGCAAUUUCAUCUCCGAGCAAUGAAAUCAACAUUGACUGUUGAUUCAACUUUUUUCAAGCAAAUCCAGUCCAGAAUGUCCUCAGACCCUCUUGUUCAUGAUAUCGAGAAUAAUUCUUCCAAGUCUCAUGAUCCUUCUAAGUUCGAGUUCAAGAAUAAUCUAUUAUAUUUUGAAGGACGCCUAUAUGUUUCAGAAAGAGAAGCACGUUUACGUGUUCUUCAAGCACGUCAUGACUUUCCAGCAAUAGGGCACUUUGGAUAUAAUAAGACUUUGGAACUCAUAUCAAGAGAUUUUUGGUGGCCACAAAUGUGGAAGUCAGUCAAAGACUUUGUACAAUCAUGUGAUAUUUGUUCAAGAUCAAAAAUUCCUCAUCAUCGACCUUACGGACUUCUUCAGCCAUUACCUAUACCAGAACAACCAUGGUCUUCUGUUUCUAUGGAUUUCAUCACAGAUCUUCCAAGCUCAAGAUCUUAUGAUUCUAUAUUUGUAAUAGUAGAUCGUUUCACCAAGAUGACACAUUUUGUGCCAUGUACAAAAUCUAUCACAGGUGAAGAAACAGCUAAGCUUUUCAUUGAUAAUAUCUAUCGUUAUCAUGGAUUACCUAAAGAUAUCAUAUCGGAUAGGGGAACUCAAUUUGUGUCAAGAUUUUGGAGGAUCCUUUUCAAGAUUUUAAAAGUGGACAUAAAGCUAUCUUCGGCUUUCCAUCCUCAAAUUGAUGGACAAACAGAGCACGUAAACCAAGUCUUGGAGCAAUAUUUAAGAUGUACUAUCAACUACCAAGAAGAUGAUUGGACAACCCUUCUGCCAUUGGCAGAGUUUGCUUAUAAUAAUACGGUACAUUCUUCCACGCAACAAAUACCGUUCUUUGCCAAUUAUGGCUAUCAUCCACGACUUGAUACUUUUGAUUUUUCAAAAGUUGAUAAUCCUACAGCAGAAGAUAUGGCAAAUCGAUUGUUAGAGCUACAUGCAAUAAUGAAGACGCAAUUGAAGGAAGCUCAAGAACGACAAAAGAUAAACACAGAUCUAUAUCGUAAGGAGCAACCACAACUCAAUGUGGGUGAUAACGUAUGGCUACUUCGUCACAAUAUCAAGACUACUCGACCUUGUGACAAGUUGGACUAUCGUAGGCUUGGCCCCUUUUAUGUUUCUAAACAGAGCAACCCAGUUGCAUAUCGGUUACAUCUACCGGAGUCAAUGAAGAUCCAUCCUGUAUUCCACGUGUCUCUUCUUGAACCAUAUAAGACAGUGGAUAUACAAGGAAGAAGACAAAUGCCACCGCCUCCUAUAGAAGUAGAUAAUAAUGAAGAAUUUGAGGUGGAAGAGAUAUUAGACUCAAGGCGGCGCCGAAAUAAGCUGGAAUAUCUUGUUCAUUGGCGCGGAUAUGAUAUUAGUGAACGCACAUGGGAGCCAUCCAGGAAUCUAGCAAAUGCAUCUGCUAAAGUCAAAGUUUUUCAUCAACGACAUCCAUCGAAACCAAGAUGAAAAUCUCUCUUAUAAAAGAGACAAGAUUGAGGCAAGAUAACAUUCAAUUUCUUAUACUUGUUUGUAACUUCUUUACAUUUGUGACGCUAAUUAGAUGGAGAGCCAACAACUAGCAGAUUCAACUCAAGAACCUUCGUUUACUGACCUGCUGGACGAGACAUUACGAUUGUCACAACCUUCAAGAACGACAUGUUCUUCCUCGAACAGAUGGUGAGAUACAACACGUUUGGUAUCACGAUUUGGGAAGGGACUCUCGAUGUUUGGUGAUUUUGCUAGAGGUAGGAACAACUCCUGAUGGUGUUCGGAAUACUCUAUUCGAAGGAAGUUAUGAAGGCCUCAACAAUGAUCAAAUAACUGGGUAGUCUUCCCGCCCUGGUAUGAGACACUACCGAUGGUUGAGAGGCCCUAUCAAUCAUCUUCGAAGAGAACAGAGAUCAGAGUAUGUGGCGAAUACAAUUCGUCGCAUCAUAGAUUUCCUCAACAUAUGAUGACCGCUCCUCAUGGAACUCGUCUCUAGAAGGGGGGGGUAAUGUCACGGUCAUAAUCAUGUAAGCUAAUAAUUACCUAUAGAAAUAGGUAGAAGUAAGUAAAAGUAGAUAAAAGUAAAUUUAUUCUAUAAUAUUUAAUAUAGAAGCUUCCUAGAAACUUCCUAGACACUGCUUUGACUUCAUAGGUGUCUUUAAUUGACUUUUUGGAUUAGAAACGUGGUCAACAAGUUGGCCAUGUGCCACAAAUGUUGUUAGCUUGAAGAUGAAGCUAACUAUGUGGCCCACACGUAGAAAAACUUGCCUUGUAAGUCAAGGCAUGUGUCCUACAAAGUCAACACAUAUUGGAGGUCCUAUAGAACGUCGCCACGUAGCCCUUAGUUAGAUAGUAUAUAUAGAGACAAGAGAGAAGGCUUCUUCACUCUUGUCAACUCCUUUCUUGCUUCUAGUCUAGUUUCAAGGGUCUCUAGUUUUCUUGUCUUUUGGCAAUAGCCAUUCUAGUUUCUCUUUUCAAUAUACAUACUUAUUAUUCAUAUUUUUUUACUUUUCUUUGAGUGAAGGCUUACUUGUCUGAACUAUUUUUUCAUCGAGUUCUUGUCCUUGACAGAGAGCCAAGAACGAGUGGAUUCAACUCAAGAACCUUCGUUUGCUGACCUGUCGGACGAGACAUUACGAUUGUCACAACCUUCUAGACGACGCAAUCGAGAUGAACAUCUUCAAGAACGUCAUGUUCUUCCUCGAAUAGAUGGUGAUAUACAACGCGUUUGGUAUCACGAUUUGGAAAGGAACUCCCGAUGUUUGGUGAUGUUGCUAGAGGUAGGAACAACUCCUCAUGGUGUUCCAAAUAUUCUAUUCGAAGGAAGUUACGAAGGCCUCAACAAUGAUCAAAUAACUGGGUGGUCUUCCCGCCCUGGUAUGAGACACUACGGAUGGUUGAGAGGCCCUAUCAAUCAUCUUCGAAGAGAACAGAGAUCAGAGUAUGUGGCGAAUACAAUUCGUCACAUCAUAGAUUUCCUCAACAUAUGAUGACCGCUCCUCGUGGAACUCGUCUCUAGAAAGGGGGGUAAUGUCACGGCCAUAAUCAUGUAAGCUAAUAAUUACAUAUAGAAAUAGGUAGAAGUAAGUAAAAGUAGAUAAAAGUAAGCUAAUUCUAUAAUAUUUAAUAUAGAAGCUUCCUAGAAACUUCCUAGACGCUGCUUUGACUUCAUAGGUGUCUUUAAUUGACUUUUUGGAUUAGAAACGUGGUCAACAAGUUGGCCAUGUACCACACAUGUUGUUAGCUUGAAGAUCAAGCUAACUAUGUGGCCCACUCGUAGAAAAACUUGCCUUGUAAGUCAAGGCAUGUGUCCCACAAAGUCAACACAUAUUGGAGGUCCUAUAGAACGUCGCCACGUAGCCCCUAGUUAGAUAGUAUAUAUAGAGACAAGAGUGAAGGCUUCUUCACUCUUCUCAACUCUUUUCUUGCUUCUAGUCCAGGUUCAAGAGUCUUUAGUUUCUUGUCUUGUGGCAAUAGCCAUUCCAGUUUCCGUUUAAUAUAUCUACUUGUUUAUAUUUUGACUUAUUAUAUCGAGAUAGCCUUUUUGUAUAUUUUCCCUCAUCGAGUCUUUGUCCUUGACAAAGACCUUAUGUAUCUUAGAUAUUCAUAUUAAUUUAAAAUAAAUAAAAGAAAAUAAAUGUAUGUAUAAUGAAAUUAUGUAGAUAUUAACUUCUUUAUAAAUAUAAAAAAAUAUUUUUAGAGUUGAAUUAGAUUUAAAGAUGUGCCAUAUAGCCAAAACUUUAAUAAGUUUUGAACUUCAAAAAGUCUAUUGCAAAAACCUUGUAUAAUUUAGACACUUAAAUUGCAAGUCUUGUUGUUCUUAGAAAGUUUCUACAAGGAAUUUUUUCUAUCUAAUAUAUACAAAGACAUUACUAAAUUCAUCAUUAAUCUUGUAAAUAUUUUUUUUAAUACUCCAGUUUUUUUAAAGAUUUUUCAACGUCUUUAUAUUUAAAUAUAGCUAUUCUUAUAUUUUCUUAUUUUAUAAAUAUUUUUAUUUUUAUUUUCCUUUCUUUUAUUUUUUUAUACAUAAUUACAUUGCCUUCUAAGUAUGUCUAGAUUCACAUUGUUGGCAUUAUGUGUAAUCUUUAUUAAAAAAAUUAUAUUUUUAUCAACCAAUUUUAAUAAAAUAUAAGUAUAUAUAUAUAUAUAUAUAUAAUUAUAAUUAUAAUACUAAUAUUUUAGAAAAAAAUAUUAUUUUAAUUUUUUUAUGAUAAUUUAUUAUUUUAAAAUAUUUUAAAAUAGUAUCUCAGGUGAUAAAUAGUACUAAAAUUUAUAAUUAUAAUAUUUUUUUUAAAAAAAACUACAAAUAUACUUACAUUAAUCAAAUUCUAAUCAAGCAAUCUUAUUUCAAAUUUAUUAUGUAUAUGUGUAUAUUGGUUUCUUUGUUCAUAAAUAUAUAUAUAUAUAUAUAUAUAUAUAUAUAUAUAUUAUCAUAGUAUAUUUAAAGUAAUAAAAUAGUAGUAAAAAAAAUACCAAAUAAAAAAUUUAAGGUAAUACAAAAAAUUAGAUUGUAAAAAAUAAAAUAAAAUAAUUAAUUGUAAAAAUAUUAAUUAUAAAAAAAUAUUGCAAAAGAAUCCUAUAUACAACAAGUCAACUUAAGAGUGAUGGAAAUAAUUUGAAUAAACAUUUUAUAUAAGAUGUUAUAUAAUGUUUUAAGUAAGAAUUUAUAAUUCAAAUUAUAAGAAAAACUUAAGUAUCUACAUAUUACAAAGUCAUUGACUAUGCAAUUAUACUUUAAAAAAGAAUUAUACUAAUUGCAUAUAGAAAAGAAUAGUAGAUGUCUUAUAAAACAUCACCAUCUAGCUUUUAAUUAGAUAGCAUAUAUAAAAGCAAGACUGAAGCCUUCUUCACUCUUGCCAACAACUUUUAGACCUUACUCUUAUCUUAUGUUUUUCUACUCUUCUUAUCUUUAGCAAUAGCUAUUCUAGUUUAAUAUUAUACAAUCUUUGAGUAAUUUUCAAGCCUUUUCAAGUGACAAAAGAGUAUACUAAUCUUUUAGUUCUUUGAGAUUCAUGUCUUUAACAAUUUGACAAGAGUGUUAACUUGUUGUUCUUUUUUUGUUUUAGAAAUAAGUGAAUUAUUCUACUUCUAUUGUUAUAUUUUGAAGGUUGGAGACUAUCUACUUUCAAACUAACUUUUAAUUUUUCAACAUUGAUUUUUUUUCCUUAAAGAAAGUGGACUACCUUUCAUUGUGAAAACUUUAAUUUGAUAUUAGAAGUUACAAAUUACUCUCUUCUAAUUUAAUUUGUAGAUUUAUUUGAGUUGUCUUAUUGGAAGUGAAAAUAAAUUUGUAACUAUUGCAAAUCUUCAUAAGCUUGAUAAUACUUUUAGGAUAAAAAUCUCAUGUAUCUUUAAUAUCAAACUUGUGGAUAGUAUUUCAAUGCCUAUAGAACAAAUCAAUAAUAAAAUUUAAAGUCUAUGCUAAGAAGUUGUGCAAUUGAGAGAAGCAACAAGAUCAAGUUCACAACUAAAUUUGAGAAGUCUUGUUACUACAAGUAUAAAAGAGACAAGGAUAAGUUUAUUAUAGAAUUUCAAUAAAACAAGAUCAAAGUUUUGAAGAUUUUUACAAUAAGUAAAGCAUUAUUUAAGGUUACAUCUUUUUUAAUAUUCUAAUAGAUUUAUCUAAGUUGGAUUUAUAGGUGCACUUUUCUUUGAGAGUGCUCUCUCUUAAUUUAUACCUUUGAUGAAAAAAGAUUCAUGAGUACUCUAUGAUUUAAGUUUACUCUUAGAGGUCUUUAUGACCACUUUUGGAGAAAGUAAUUGAAAAAAGAUAGCAGAGACAAAACUUGUAUUUUUAAAAUAAGAAUCAUAAUAAGCCACUAUAUGUAUUGCUGAAUUCCAAAAUCUCACUUAUGACAUGGAUUGGAAUAAUAAGACUCUUAUCAAUCAAUUUUAAUAUGAGUUAAAAGACCACGUUAAAGAUUUAUUGUUGACAAUGUUAAGAAUUGUUUUAUUGAAGUAAUUUAUUGCUUAAGCUAUCAUAUGUGACAAUUGACUCUCUAAAAGAUGCCAAGAAUAAAGAUUUGAUAUCAAGGAUAUGAAUCUUAAAGAAAUAAAUCGUCAAUAUAUUCUUAUAUUAUUCAAAAAUAUUAGAAAAUUACUAUUGUCAAAGACAAGAAGAUUAGGAAGUCUUGAAACAAGUCUUAAGACUAUAAAGGCAUUGACAAGAAUGAAGACGGCUUCACUCUUGCUUCUAUAUAUACUCUCAAUUAAGAGUUAUGUAGCAAUGUCCUAUAGGACCUACAAAACAUGUUGAAUUUGUAAGACAUAUAUCUUAAAUUACAAGACAAGUUUUUUAUAUGUGUGCUAUAUAAUUAGCUUAUUUUGUAAGCUACUAAUAUAUGAUUAAUUUGUUGACCAAGUUUUUAAUCUAUCAAUCAACUACAAAUACAUAUAAAAUCAAAGCAACGUCUAUAAAGCUUUAUGAAAAAAAUCUAUUUUUAUCUACUUCUACUUAAUUAUAUAGGUAAAUGUUAGAGUAAAUAUAUUUCUCUAUAACAUUAUCUUCUCUUUUAAGGAUAAGUUUCAGGAGGAGCAAUCAUCAUCUUUCAUAGAUUUUGUAAUUCUUCAACUUGGUUUUGAUGAGUAUUGUCAAUAAAAAAAAACUUUAACUUUCUUUGUUUUAUUUGUAAGAUUCUUUGUUAGGCCCUAUGUACAUUUACUAAUAUCAUAUCGACACUAAUGAAAAAGAUAUUGUAAUAUAUUUCAAUGCUAUCUUGAAUCUAAGACUUCUUAUACCUUGAAUUUUUUAUCAUUAUCUAUUUUUAUAAGAAGAGGUGGUAUUUAUCUUAUUUUUAAAAUAUUCAUUGUCUUAUAUGACUUAAAAAAAGAUACAUGAAAUAUGAGAUGGAUCUUCAUAGACUCUGAUAGAUAUAAUUGAUAAGCAAUAAGAUUGAUUUGUUCACAAGUAAGGAAAGGCCCAAGCUUAUAAUAAUCCAAUUUGUCACAAAGAAAAGUAGUCUUAAUAUUAAGACAAAGUAACCAUAACUUGUCAUCUACAUUGAAUUGUGGUUGUUACUUGUAAUAAGUAUUUGCAUUGAUUAUUUGUCAUUUUUGAACUUCCUUUAAUUGCACCUUUAUUGUUGCAUAUAGCUUUGACAAAUGAUUUAUCAAAUCUUCUAAUAGAGGAUUAUUAACUUUAAAAAAGUCAAAAGUAUCAAAUUAUGGAUGAUAACCAUAAUUGACAAAGAAAGGUGUUUGUUGAAUAGAAAAAAUGUAUCAAAUUAUUAUAUACAAACUCUGCCAAUGACAAAAGAAUUUUCCAAUUACCUUGAUAAUAAUUGAUGGUAUACUUCAAAUAUUGCUCUAAAACUUGAUUUUUCCAUUCUGUUUGCCUAUCAAUUUGAGGAUGAAAAGCCAAAGAAAGUUUUAUAUCCACCUAUAAAAUCUUAAAAAAUAUUCUCCAAAAUCUUGAUAUGAACUGAGUCCUCCUAUCCAAUAUAAUAUCCUCGGAUAAUCCAUGAUAGCAAUAGAUAUUGUUUAAAAAAAUCUUAGCUAUUUUUUUACUUAUGAUAUGUUUUGUACAUCGUACAAAAUGAACCAUCUUGAUAAAAUGUUCUACAAUUAUGAAUAUAGAAUCAUACAAACCUAAGAUUAAAAGAUCUAUAAUAAAAUCUUUAUGGAUAGAAGACUAUGGUUGUUGAAGUAAGUAAUAGUUGAAAAAGUACAUAAGGUUGAUGACAAGGAGUUUUGAAUCUUGAACAAAUAUCUUAUGAUUAUACAAAGUCUUUGACUGCAUUUCAUAUUUGGGGCCACCAAAUUUUUUUAAAUAUUAGUUCCGAAGUCUUAUUAUAUCCAAAAUGUUUGGCUAUUGGAAAGUCAUGAUGAGCUUGAAGAACAUGUAAUCAUACUUUGCCUUCUAGAAUGUUUAAUCAUUCCUCAAAGUAGAAUAGAUCAUUCUUAAAUUCGAAUUUGGAAGUAUUAUGAUACUUAGAAGAAUUAUUUUUGAUAUUAUGAAUAAGAUGAUGAGAAGAUAUAUUUGAUUAAAUUUGCUUGACAAAAGAUGAAUCAACAGUCAAUGUUGAUUUUAUUACUUGAAGAUAAAUAUACUCCGCCUUCAAGAAAAUUAUUCUUAGUGAAUCAAAAGCUACAUCUUUUUUUUGUUUAUACAAAAUAAAAAUUUCUACAAAAGGCUUUUGAUAAACCUUGUUUUUUUUGGGAUCUAUGAAUGAUUUUUAAAUCAAAUCUUGAUAAAGACAUAUUUUAACAAGUUUGACAAUAAUUCAAAGUACAUGCCAAUAUGAAAUACUUGAGAUUCUUGUAAUCUAUAUACAUAGUAAUUGGAGUAGAAGUUGCUUCUAGAUAAUGAUGCCAUUCUUGAAAUGAAUCUAUAAAUCCAAAAGUUCUUUAUUAUAGAUCUAAUAAUUAAUCUUGGAUUCUAAAAAUUUCUUGGAAUAAAAAUCUACUAAAUAGAGGUUAUCAUCUAUUUCUGUUUGUGAUAAAAUAAGACCUAUUGCAAAGUUUGAUGUAUCUAUUUCUAUAAAGAACUUCUUAAAAAAAUCAACGUGAUACAAAAUUGGUGUAGAAAUAAAUAUUGUCUUUAAAGCUUCAAAAAAUGUUUAAGCUUCUUUGUUCCACUCAAGUUUGUCUUAACAUGUCAAAUGUGUUAGAAAAGCUACAACUUGAGAAAAAUUCUUGAUGAAGAUUAAAUAAUAAUUGGAAAAUUCCAAAAAACAUUGUGCAUCUUUGACUGUUUUUGGGACCUUCUAAUUCACGAUAGACUGGACCGUCUUAGGAUCUAUCAUUAAUUCUUUGUUGGAAAUGAUGUAUCAUAAGAAAUUAACUUGAGUAGUAUAAAAUAUACAAUAUUUUAAUUUAAUUCAGUAUCAAAUCUUAAUAAAGGAAAGAAGAUAUUUUUUGAAGAACUUUAUGAAGGAGAAUUAUUAAAAAUUGGUCUUUAUUUGAAUGCCUUGACUAAACAAGAGAAUUGGUUGACAUAAAAAUUUAAUCAAGUAAGAAAAAAGGCUUAUAGAUUUUUGCUUCAAGAAGGGUUUUUAUGGAAGAGACCAAAGAAAAGAAUUGGAACGCCAAGACAAGCAAUAGGUACCAAAGAAGAUCAACAAAGACUACUUAAUGAGUUUCAUGAGAGUCUAUGGACGGGACAUAGAGGAAUUUGGGCUACUUUUGCUAAAAUGAAGGAAUGAUAUUGGUAGAAGAAUAUCUAUUGAGAUGUAACUUUGUUUGUAGAAUCUUGUAUAACUUAUCAGAUGUAUUCAAAUAUAUGACAUCGAGAUGGGUUACAUCCAACAUAUCCUUUGGCUAUUUAUUUUAAAUAGAUUGUAGAUUUGAUUAUUAUACCGAUGGGACUAUGGUAAAUGAGAUAUUUAGUUUUGGCUCAUAAAGAUUUAUCAAACCAAGUAAAAGGUAGGGCACUAAGAACAAAGUCCACAAAAGGAAUUUGUAAGUUUUUACUUGAGAAAGUUAUCUGUCACUAUGGAUGUGUGAGAAAGAUCAUUGCAUAUCAUAGAGAAUUGGAUGCAUAUAAAGCUUGUGAUUUUUUUAAGAGUUGUGGGAUCAAAUUAUCAUUAACUACUACUUAUAAUCUAGAGGGGAAUGCAAAAAGUGAACGUGGGCAUCCACCAAUUUUAAAAGCCUUAAUUAAAGCUUGCAAUGGAAGGGUGAAAGAAUGGCCUCGACUUCUACUUUAUAUAUUAUGGGCUGAUCAAACAACACAUAAUUUGAUAAUAGGAUAUAUGCCAAUGGAACUUAUGGUAGGUCAAAAACUAAUUAUGCCAAUUGAAGAAAAUAUGCUAACUUGGAGUAUGCUAUUAUGAGAAGAUGGAUUGACAAGGGAGGAAUUGUUAAGCAUUAGAAUUCGGCAACUUGAACAAAGAUCAGAAGAUGUGGAACUAGCAUUGAAAAGGUUACAAAAGGCAAAGUUAAGAAAUAAGACUCAAUUUGAUAAGCAAUAUCGAUUGAAGCCUAGAACAAUUGAAGAAGGUGAUUGGAUACUUGUUAAUGAUAGCAGUCUAGAUAACCAAUAUAGUGCUUUGCAGAAGUUUUUAAAACAUUGAUUUGGACCAUACGUGGUAGUAACAGUUCAUAAUAAUACUACAUAUUCAUUAAAAGAGUUAGAUGGUACGAGGUUGAAAAUAUCUAUUGCUAGGAAGCGAGUGAAGAUUUUAAAAAGAUAAGAUAGAAAAAUCAAAAUAGAUGAUUAUGUUGAAGAUAUCAAUAUUUUUGAAGAAGAGAAUAGUUUUGAAGAAGAUGGUAAAAAUAGAAAUGAAGAAUUUAAUAAAAAAAAUGAAAAGAUGGUCUGAUGCAAAUUAUGGCAUAUGGUUCAUUUGGCACAUGUCAGAAGAUGUGCAGGUUAAGAGGAGGUGGAUGUUGUGAUAUAAUACGACUAUAUAGUGAAAUUAUAAUCAAAAUUUAAUUUCUAAUUAAUAUCUAAUUAUUUUAGUUCAAUUAUAAUUUGAAGUAUUUAAGCAUGGCUUUUAUAAAAGCUUCUUAGGUUAUUUUCUUAUCUUAAUAGUUAGUAGGUUGAAGGUUAGUUAGUAAUUUUACCUUCUAGGUUAUAGAGACUCUUUUACUACCUUAGAAAGACCAUAAAUUGAUAAAAUCAAGUUAAAAGAGAUAAAUAAUUAGUAUGGUUGGUACUAAGAUUAAUUUGAGAAUAGGGUUGGAUUAAAAAAUCCUUAGGAUAGGUUAGAUUGAUAUUCGAGGGUCGACCAUUUGUAAGAGAGGGUCGAAAUCACACCUUUGGCUACUAAAACGAUGGCCUAGGGCAAAAUAGAGAUUCAUUCGAAGUUCAUAGGUUAAGAUUUGAGAGUUAGCUUGAAGUUCUUUUUAAAGGCAUAAGGAUUGUUUUUGGAGGAUUUUUGAAGAUUUAGAAAUUAUUGUUCAAAGUUAGGAUUUGUAUUGGUGAUUUGGAUUUUAUAUAAUAUAAUUAGAGCUAGCAAUUUUGGCUAGUUCGUGCAAUUGGUGUAAUAUCUACAAUUGAAAAUUUGAUACUAUUUGGAUUAUUGGAUGUGCUAAGUGUAUACAAAAUUUUGUAAUAAUCUAACAAUGUGAUUUAGAGAUAUCUGGUUUUUAGCAUAAGAGGAUUUUGGAAGUUAGAAGUUUGAAGUUGGAUAGGAUUUCUGUGAUAUCUUGAGAUCUACUAGUUGGAUCAAGGUGAAAUUUGGCAUGGUAUUGUAAGACUUGAAGAUCAAUCCGCACACCAAUUUUGAAUCAAAGUUAAUGGUUGAAAAAAGAAAAAUCACUGCUGGGAUUUCUACUUUACUUUUUAAGUUAGCAGCCAAGUGAUAUUAGUGCAAUUUUUGGAGGUUUUUUCACAAUUUGUAAGUUGGAUUGGGCUAAAAAUUCUUAGGCAUAUAGAAGACUUACAUUAAAAAUUGCAUGUAAAAUUUAAUAUCAAGUGGACAGCCACAUUAGAUGUUAUAUCUUAUUAAAGCUCAUUGAUUAGGAUUGGGGCUUAUAAGAAAAAUCUAAAUUGCUUAAAUAUGAAAGUAAUAAGAUAAUUGGAAUUUAUGUAUGAUUAAGGCUACUUAAAAGAGUGUUUUUAGGACUUUUGAAUUAAAAUUCAGAUUAUAUUCUUCUCGUAUAGAUGAAACCUAUUAGAAUUUCUUGGAUACUUGUGAAAUACAUCCUCACCUUCCAUAGCUAAGUGCCGAUUACAUUCUGGAGCAAGACAAAAUGUAAUAUGAUGUCAUGUUGUAACACAAUCAUAUGGUGAAAAUAUAAAUGAAAAAGAUUUUAUUAAUAUUUAGUCAUCUUGCAUGUUAAAAACAGUGGCCAAUUCAGGAACUAGUUAAUGUCUUCCCAUAGCAAGCUAUACUAUCAUAUGUGACAUCAGCAAUAUGCUCCAUUGGCGUCAUUGAACCAAGUACCCUCCGUACCAACGGGACAACCAGGAUCAUUUUCUAACCCUACAUGGAACAAGCCUAAUAGGUAUAUACCAUUGGAGACACCUAAUAUACCUGAAGGGGGUAAAAGAAGACCACUUCAUUGUUUCUAUUGGAGACAGAUUGAUCAUUAUGCUAGUGAAUGUCCCAAUUCCAAAGCGAGUGAUGAUUACACGCUAGUGUGUAGGAAUUGCAAGCAAUCGAGGCAUACUUAUCAACAAUGUAAUGCUCCGUUCAAUUUCAAUAAUCGGGAUGAACAAAUCCAAAGCCAAGGAAAAAUUCAAGAGAUAAAUCGAGGUCCUCAAGAUACUCCGAUAAAUCGGGUGGAAUGUGUCUAAGCCGUUCUUACCAAAAGUUGGCAAAAAAAAAAGAAGACCAAUUCAACAUUUGAGUGAGCCUGAUGCGAAGGGCUAUUUUGACCCACUUAUGAAGACAUCCAAUCCAGGUCCUGUUACGGGCUUCUUAUCCAGUAUGAGACCUGACUUGCUUGGAUAACCCAAUGAGGUCCUGAUUACGGAGACUUCGAUUCCAUUUCAAGUUGUUCUGUUCUCUAUGCCAUUUCAAGUUGUUCUAUUCUCUAUGCCAUUUCAAGUUGUUCUGUUCUCUAUGCCAUUUCAAGGUUCGUCAUCAAUUUUUUAGGCAGCGGUCAAGGGACAUGAGUGUGGAUUUGCGACAUUUUCUUGCAAUCUGUAAGUUAGAUUGGAUUGAAACUUCUUGAGCAUUUAGAAGACUUGCAAAGAUACUAGUGGUAGAAGUUUUACAACAAUUGGACGGUCAUAUUGAGAAUUACAGCUUGCCGAAGCUCGCUGUCUAGAGUUAGGAUUUAAAAAUUAAAAAAUUAAAAAUAAAAUAAAUAAAUAAAUAAAAUAAUACUAAUAAAAAUAAAAUAAAAUAAAACUAACAAAUAACAAAAGAAUUUGUGCUUAUAAAAUCUUGAAGUUAUUAAAAGUAGAGUUUUUAAGUACUUUGUAUUGAAAUUAAGCUUUUACAUUGAAAUCCGAAAUAGUUUGUAUUUAGUUGGUUGAAACCCACUAGAUUACUUAGAUACUUCCAAAACAUCAUUUUAUCUUCCACAAUCAGAUGCUCGAUGCAUUCUCAACCAAGAUAGCACGUAAUAUGAUAUAAGUGGUGAACCUAAUGUGAAACGCUUGAGGUGGGAGGUAUUGGAAUUCAUUUAUUUUUAUUUUUAUUUUAUAGAGAAUGAGAAUAAAAAUUUUGAAGGAGCUUCAAGUGGAACUUUUGGUGGGGUUUCUUCUAAAGGUCAAAGUAUGUACAUGGAUCCAUCCAUUGCUAGUAUGUUUCAAGCCUUAUCAUUAUCUAUGCAGCAACAACAAAGCAAUGAUCACAAAGAAGCUUUAGCAACCAAAGCAUUGCAAGCAGUGGUCAAUAAAAUUGAUCAAUUUGAUGGAAGGAAUAUUUCAAAGUAUUUAAGAUAUUAUGUUCGGGAAAUGGAAUUCAAUUGGAUUUCUGAGAAGAAGAUGGUUGAAUUAUUUGGACUUGUCACAAUACCGGAAAUAAGAAAGUAUAUUACAUCAAUUAUGGAGCAUUAUGGAAAUUCAUGGGAGAUUUUUUCACAUGCAUUAAAAGACAAAUAUUUCUUGGAGGACAGUGAUCGUGUUACUAAGAAACUAUUUCUAGAAUGGAUUAAGUGGCCUAAUAAGAAUUUAUAAGCAAUAGAGCUACUAAAGGAAUUUGAGAGGUGGUAUUCUCAAUUAUUGAAGGUAGAAAAUUGACAUUAGAGUCGAACAAGGUUGAAUUAUUUCUUCAAGCUUCUGAUUGAGAAUUACAAUGAAAAUUGGAGUUGCUUCUUGAAGACAAAGAAGAAGAUGAAGGAUUGACAAUAAAGUAGAAAAAUGUUGAAAAUACAGUAGGUUUGCUUGGAAAAAGAGAAAGAAUGAAGAGUAGGAGUAAUAUUCCAAAAACAGUACAAGCACCUAAAAUUCUAGUAUAUACAACACGACCAACAAUGCCUACUGUUAAAACUUCAACAUCUUUAGUGAAAAAAGGAGAUAUGGAGAUUGAAGAAAUUAUACGCGGAAUGCGAGAUCUUCAAAUCAAAUUAGCAAGACUUAAAGAAAAUACUUCUACAAAUAAUUUGAAGAAUGUUUCAAAACAAGGAUAUGUACAAAGAUGUAUCUAGUGUGAUGAUGCUUCACAUACUAGGAAGGAUUGCAAUGAAUUUAAUAAUAUGGUACAACAAGGAAUUAUUUACUGAAAAGAUGGAAAGAUUGUAUUAAAGGAUAUAAAAGAUCUCCUUCAAACCAAUUUUGGCAAAGGAGGUAUGAGAGUAUUGAUUUAAGAUUAUUUCAUAGAACAUGGAAUAGCAACACGAGAGAGUACAAGUUAUGGUGCUAGAGUAGAUGAUGACUUUGGUGGAAGUAUAGAAACUAGUGAGUUUUGGGCUUCUGCUAUUUCUACAAUGCAAAAAGGAAAAAUGCCUAGAAAAGCAUUAUUGAGGACUGCAGCUAUAAUACAAGGUGUAACAAGUUGGAAAGAUCUUGUUGAGUCUCUUUCAGUUCAUGCAUAUAUUGCUAAGAACCAACAUGAAACUUUGAUGGAAGAAAAGGGACGAGAAAAUUUUGAUGAUACAAGAGAAGGAAAUUCUUCUAAGAGGCAAACUCGAGGAGACAAGGCUUAUGAGGCGGCUUCAGAAGAAUUACCUAUAAAGGAUACUUCAGCAUCAUUGGAAGAAAAAAUAAAGGAGACAAAAGAUAAGGGUAAAUUAAUUACUUAUAAGCUACUUUUUGAUAUUAAAGUGGCAACAUAUUUAAAAGGGGUGUUGGAAGAACGUAUAUUAAAUGUUAAGGUAGAAUUCACAUUGAAAGAAAUUUUGGAGCUUGUUCAGAUGUCAAAAUUUGGAUUGGAGAUGUUGCAAUAGAACAACAUUUCUUUGUUCAAGAUACAACGUCUUAUCCAUUGAUUUUAGGACAACCUUAUAUUACGGCAACACGAAUAGAAACAAAAGUACUUGACAAUGGUUCUGCUUAUGUAAAGGUACGUAGUAAAGAUAGAAAGAAAGUUGUACAGUUUCUAACAGUACUUCCUAAUCAUGAACGAAAUCGAGAUAGGUUGAGGGAGAAACCAUUGCCAAGGAUUAUUGAAGAAUUUAGGGAUUUUGAGGUCGGAGAGCUAGCUUCAAGCUCCUUAGAAAGGUGUAGGACUUGAUUUCAUAGGAUUUGGGAGGACUUUGCAAUCGUUGUUCAAAGUCAGUGUUUGUAUUGGUGAAUUGGAUUUUUUGUAAUAAAGUUAAAGCUAGUACUCUUGACUAAUUUAGUAAAUUACAGAAACAUCUGAGAUUGAAAUUUUAGACAUGUCUAGAUGGUUGAGUAUGCCAAGUACAUGCAAAAAUUUGUGUUAAUCUAAUGGUACAGAUAAAGGAUAUUUGAUCAUUAAUGUAAAGAGGUAUCAAAAGUCGACAUAUUGGAGUUGUUUAGGAUUUUUGUAAUAUCUAGAGAUCUAUCGGCUGGAUAAGGUGAAUUUUGAUGUGAUAAGUCAAGGACUUAAAGAUGGAGCUGCACACAAGGUUUGAAUGAGAAUUAAAAGUUGAAGAAGGAGAAAUUACAAGUCAAGUUUGUGUCACGGACAAAAAAUACAGCCUUGAAAUCUAACAAGAAGUUCAAGAAGAAGUGACAGAACUAGAUUAAACAGAUAAGUACAAGAACAACACCAGAAAGGUGAGCUAGAACUCCAAGAGAUGUGUUGUCGAGACUGAAGAACCCUUCAGCCUCGACUCCUAUAUAUACUACUGAAUAGGAAGCUUCUCGAGCUACUUCCGCUAACUAGGACGCUUCUCCAACAACUUCUACUAAUUAGGAAACUUCUUGAGCAACUUCCUAGAAUCUAUCAGAAUAUUCUAGAACCUUCUAAGAGAAUCUUUAGGGAAUAUUCUAAGAAUCUUCUAGAACCUUCUAAAGGAAUCUUUAGAGAAUCUUUAGAGAAUAUUCUAGAAGAAUAUUCAAAGAAUCUUCUAAUGUAUGUCCAUGACAUCACCUCCUCUUCUAGCUUCGAGGUCUCCGAGAAGCAAUGUUGUUAUCAGUCAAUACCAACGCAAGAAAAUGAAAAUCUGUCGCAUCACAUCCGCUAUGAAUUCCAAUUGUUGUUCGCGAGGCAAAUGAUUCAUCGGCCCUUGGAGCCAACGGUAGUGACCAACACCUUCAACCUCUGACCAAGCGUGGACUUCUGUGUCUUCAUUGUGAAACUGUCCUCCAAACACACCUUCUGGCUGACCGUCGUAGGCAGGCUCGACCUCAACUACAAUUACUAGCGAUCUGUUGCUCGGUAUCCUCCGACGUCGUCGUGGUACAAGCGGUUCUUCAUCUCGCGGUCGUCUUCGUGAGCUAGUCGCUUGAGAUGACAUAACAAGUGUAGUAUCUUGACUAUCCAUGUCCAAAGGCUAAAAUGAUGAGAGCAAACUAUAGUUGCUAACAAAGUUCUACACUAUCGAACUAUGGGUUUUGGAGGUGCCCUCCCCCCUUUUUAUGCUACUUGAUGAGCAAGCUUCAGCAAGAAGCUAUCGUUGAAUCGGCUUAGGUUUAUGAGGAUAUCGUUGAUGAAAUUCUUGUACCUUUUUUGGCGCAUUGGCAAGAUUUUCGGCACGCUCCCACGUUCGUUCAUUGAUGUCGUAUCCACUCCAAUGCACUAAAUACUCCAAUUUUCUCCUAUUACACCGUGAAUCUAGUACCUUUUCCACCUCGUAUUCCUCAUGAUUUUCAAUUUCGAUACUUGGUCGCAGACUUUGUACUCUUUGGGAAAAAGCUGACUCUCGAUAAGGUUCCAACAAAGACACGUGAAAGACUGGAUGUACCUUCAUAGUAGCUGGUAACUCCAGACGAUAUGCCACCGGAUUGAUCUGCUUCUCGAUAACAAAUGGCCCUAAUCUCCGAUAGUCCAAUUUGUCACAUGGCCGCUUGGUCUUGAUAUUUCGUCGAAGAAGCCAUACUUUACUUCCAACUUUAAAAGUAGGCGCCUCAUUUCGAUAUUUAUCUGCAGAUGCCUUGUAACUCUCUUGGGCAGAUUGUAAUUGAAGCUUCAACGUCGCUUGAAGCUCCGAUAGUUGCUUCACAAAUCCUUCAGCUGCUGGGUUGUUAUUUGCUGAAGAACUCAAUAAAUCGAGCUUGGGGUGGUAUCCGUAGUUGGAGAAGAAUGGUGUUUGUUGAGUUGACGCAUGAAGAGUGUUGUUGUAUGCGAACUCAGCAAGCGGUAGAUAUGCAGUCCAAUCAUCUUGUUGAUAGUUGAUGCUGCAUCGUAAAUAUUGCUCCAAAACUUGAUUCAACCGCUCCGUUUGACCGUCAGUUUGAGGAUGAAAAGCCGAAGAGAGCUUAAUAUCCACCUUCAAUAUCUCAAAGAGGGACCUCCAAAACUUGGAUACAAACUGAGUACCUCGAUCCGACACGAUAUCAUCUGGUAGGCCAUGAUAACGAUAUAUGUUAUCAAGAAAGAGUCUUGCGGUGUCUUCACUUGACGAUGUUUUCUUGCAAGGCACGAAAUGCGCCAUCUUUGUAAAUCGAUCCACCACAACAAAGAUGCUGUCAAAUGAAUUCGAUGGCGGUAGGUCCGUAAUGAAGUCCAUAGAAACUGAAGACCAUGGUCGGUGCGGAAUAGGCAAUGGCUGGAGAAGUCCAUACGAACGAUGUCGAGGGAUCUUGGAUCUUGAACAAACAUCACAAGAAAGGACAAAUUCCUUCACAUCCUUCCACAUUUCGGGCCACCAAAAAUCUCGUGAAAUGAGCUUCAAAGUCUUGUUGAAUCCAAAAUGUCCCGCAGCUGGAAAGUCGUGGCGAGAUUGAAGUACUCGGAGUCGAGUUGGUCCUUUUGGGAUAUACAAUCGCUCCUCAAAAUACAGAAGAUCUCCCUCCACCUUAAACUUGUCAUUAUCGACACGUAGUUUGAUGUCAGGAGCUAUAGAAUCCUCAAUGGUCGCAGUACGUACCUCGCUGAGGAAGCCAUCAUCGAUAGUUGCAACAGUAGCAAAAAUCCUAAAUUUUUUUGGUUUCAACAAUGUUGUACAUUGUUGAUCAAACGCUGCUUCUCCAGCCUUUGGCGCAAGAUACGAUCUCCUCGAUAAUGCGUCAGAUAAUCCUUGCUGUUUUCUAGGGCGGUAGGUGAUAAUAAAGUUGAAUCGUGAUAGAGACAUAUUCCAUCGAGCUUGACGACGAUUCAAAAUUCGAGCUGUCAUGAAGUACUCCAAAUUCUUGUGGUCCGUAUAAACAGUCACUGGAUGUGCAGCUCCUUCGAGGAAGUGACGCCACUCUUGGAAGGCAUCCACUAUAGCAAGCAGCUCUUUGUCGUGGAUCUCGUAGUUGAUCUCAGCAGCAGAGAACUUUCGUGAAUAGAACGCAACUAGGUGAAGCUUCUUGUCUAUGCCCAUCUGUGAAAGCACAGCUCCCAAAGCAAAAUCUGAAGCAUCAGUCUCUAAAUAGAAAGCCUUUGCAAAGUCAGGGUGUACCAAGAUUGGAGCCGUAGUGAAUGCCGUCUUGAGAUCUUGAAAUGCUUUUGCUGCUUGUGAUCCCCAUUCGAGCUUGUCUUUGCUUGUUAGACGCGUGAGUGGUGCAGCAACUUGAGAAUAAUUCUUGAUGAAGAUCCGAUAGAAGUUAGCAAAUCCAAGAAAACACUGAACAUCUCUAACCGUCUUCGGAACUUCCCAAGAUAUAAUUGCUUCUACCUUUUUUGGAUCCAUCUUCAAGCCCUCUGUAGUCGCAAUGAAGCCCAAAAAUUCCAUCUCAUUCUGGUGAAAUUGACACUUCUCCAACUUGGCGUAGAGUCCUCGUUCGCGUAGUUUUUCAAGAACCAAACAAACAUGCUUCUCAUGUUCUUCUUCAUUCUUGGAAAAUAUCAAAAUAUCAUCCAGAUAGAUGACAACAAAGUCAUCGAGGUACUCCCGAAAGAUGUCCUUCAUCAUAUGUUGAAAGACCGUUGGAGCAUUGGUAAGACCAAAAGGCAUGACAUUGUACUCAAAAUGGCCAUACCUUGUACGAAAGGCUGUCUUCCAUUCAUCUCCUUCUUUGAUUUGCACAAGGUUGUAGGCUCCUCUUAAAUCAAUCUUUGUAAAAAUCCUUGCACGUCCAAGUUGAUCUAAGAGGCCGGAGAUCAAAAGUAAGGGAUAGCGAUUUUUCUUGGUCACCUUGUUGAGUCCUCGGUAGUCCACGCACAUCCGCAGUGAGCCAUCCUUUUUCUUCACGAAUAGGAUUGGUGCUCCAGCUGGCGACUUUGAAUGUCGAAUAAAAUCCUUGGCUAGAUUCUCAUCGAUGUACUUCCGCAAUUCUGCCAACUCCGUCUGCGAUAGGUUGUAUAUUGGACCAAAAGGUGGUUGCGCUCCUUCCUCUAAGUCUAUGGCGCAAUCAUAUAGUCGAUGUUCCGGCAGUAUAUCGGCAUUCUUCUUCUGAAACACGUCUUCAAAAUCCCUAUAUUGCUCUGGUAUAUUCGAUGUUGAGAUAUUCUCGCCGCUAAUUGGAGCUGCAUAAAUGACAAAUGGUGCGCCUUCCUUGGACGAUCUUAGGAACGCUCUCGCUCCAAUAAACAUGGAUUUCUUCAUGUAGGUUCUACCAACAGGUUUAUUAUUAUUUUUUUCAGGAAAUGUUAUCUUUCGUAGCCUCCAAUCAAUGGACGGAUUAUGAUCUUCUAACCAAGAAAGACCAAGGAUAACAGGGCUUGAUGGGAUCUAAUAAUAUUAAAAACAACGUGACUACUAUGGUCCUUAAACACCACUUCUAUAGGUUCUGAUUCGUGGGUAACGUUGCCUGACAAUAAGGGUCGUCCAUCUAUCACCUCUACGUGAACAGGUUUGGAUUUCUGUACUAAACGGAUCUUGUGGCGUUUAGCAAAC